UUUGUUCAACCUCAUUCACAAUUUUGAUUUCUAGAAAGUCUACUUUUCUUUGAUUUCGCUUAUGUUAAUGGUAGAGAUUUAUAAUGUCAGGACCCACCCCGAAUUUCACCUUGAAACCCAAGGUAAAUCCUGCGGGGUCUACCUUCAAGGAAAAUUUACCGAAAAUUCGGCAUAACCAUCCUUGAAAAUGGACAACCUUUUCCUGAAAAAUCCAACUUAACACUUCUAUAAUCAAACAUUCAUCCUCAUCUCCUGGAGCCUUCCUGCUCCCCAAGUUCAUCAAAACUCCCAAUAAUAAUUUCUCAUCUAAUAAAAUUCCACAACCAACAACAAAGACAUUUAAUAAGCUACUACUGGACUUUCAGAGCAUAUCUAAUGAUGAAUGAAAACAAUGAAAACGAAUAAGCGGAAGCAGCCUCUGACUAUGCCUCGACUCCAUGUACGCUCGUCCUCAAAUAACUUAGCCUGCAAACUGGGCAUUUAUAAACCAAAGGGCCCAGGGGAAAGUAAUUUAAAAACGUUAGAGUGAGUAGAAGAAAAUAAAUUCAAUAACUUAACAAUUAUAAAACUUAUAUACUUUCCCACUUUUCAACUUUUAAAACUUAACAGCAUGCAACUUAAACGUCCUUAAAACUUUAAAUCUAAAAUCACUUAAUAAAGGACAAACCAGCCCCGCUGGUUAAUCAAAUAUAUUAUUGAGAAGAAUAAAAUAGGGGAAGAGUUAUCACCAUGAAAAAGGAGCCUCCUAGGCUCAGGUUGAUGCCUCCCAGGCUAUAAUAGCGUCCUACGCUAAGCGCUCAACUCACAUAUGAUGAGGACCACUAUAUAAGGCUAUAAUAGCGUCCCACGCUAAGUGCUCAACUCACAUAUGAUGAGGACCGCAAAUAAGGGUAGCUAACUAAUAAAUAUAAAUACCGAUCGGUUGCCUCCCAGAUUAUAAUAGCGUCCCACGCUAAGCGCUCUACUCACAUAUGAAGAAGACCGCUAAUAAGGCUAUAAUAGCGACUCACAUAUGAUGAAGACCGCCAAUAAGGUUAGCUAGCAAUAAUCAAGAUAAACGACCCAAUAAUAUGGUGACUAAAACAUACGAAGUCACUUAAAUCCAUUAAACUUCCCCCAAGACCAAACGAAUGGUACGGUUCCCAACCGUACAUGAAAAUCAUCAGAAGAAAUCAGAACACAACUCAAUGACGUGUCUCACACGUCAAAAUAUUCUUCAAUUUAUAAAUAUAAGCGAGAUUUCAAUAACAAAUAUGAAUCAUAAAUAAUAGUAUCUUCGCUCGAAAAUACUCGCUAAAAUAUUCUCCAAGUCAAAAUCAUUAUGCCUCAAAUGAACAAUUAAAUUAUGAGAACAACUACCGACAAUCCCAUUUUCGGUAAUCAUUUAUAAAACUCAAAGUCAAGAUCGAUAUUCCACCAAUAAUUUCGAGAAUUAAAAAUAGGAAACUACCGAAAAUCCAAUUUUCGGAAAUCUUAUAUAAAUCUCAAAAUCCACCAUUAAAACCAUUUAAUGAAAUCCGGAAUUUAUAAAAAUAUCCAAACUCAAAUAUCAAAAUAAUAAUCCGCGCUCAACUCCAUAAAUCAUGACCAACACUUAAUAAAUGCACCAAACUCAAAUAAUUUUCAAGCUCAUCUCAUGAACUGAAAAAUUAUAUUAUAUGCUCGGAAAAUAAAAUGAUAGAUUAUAAAAUCUUGCAUGCAUAUUUAUUUUUAAAACCAAAAUGUCCACUCACAAAUUUAGGCAUGAGCCCGACGAUAACCGCAUCGCCACUCAAGCGAGGUUCCCUUCGCAUCUUGGCACAACAACCAUGCUUAUAACCAAACUUCAAUUCCAGAAAAUAAAUACGUGAAUUAAAAUAUUUAACUCUCCUCCGUUUAACCCUCUACUCUUAAUAGGGUUAAACUCGCCGGAUUCACACCAAACUCCACCACAACCUUAAUUCAUCAAUUCUAAUAUUCUAUAAUAAAUACCAAGGAAAUCCAACGGUCGGAUUUUCAUUCUAAUAACCGGCAUUUUCUCCAAUCUCUGAAAAAUUUCAAACCUAACCAAAAACUCAUCCAAAAAUUNNNNNNNNNNNNNNNNNNNNNNNNNNNNNNNNNNNNNNNNNNNNNNNNNNNNNNNNNNNNNNNNNNNNNNNNNNNNNNNNNNNNNNNNNNNNNNNNNNNNNNNNNNNNNNNNNNNNNNNNNNNNNNNNNNNNNNNNNNNNNNNNNNNNNNNNNNNNNNNNNNNNNNNNNNCUUGACCCGGUCCAAACUUAAAACACCCACAAAAUAAAGCCUACAAGAAUUUACCUUUUUUACCAAUAUAGUCAUUUUCGUUUUUAGACCAUAACUUCUUCAUACGAACUCCGUUUUAAGCGUGCCGCGUGUCCACAAACUCUGUUUAACGUCCUCUACAACUUUCAUGAAGAAAGUUUUCCCAAAUUCCAAACGGAAGAAAAAGUCAACUUUAGGAUCCUUAAGUAGUAAACGGUUACUCAACACGGAAAAAGACCAAAAUAACACCAAAGUAAAUAGCCGUAAAAUAACUUAAAAACCGGGGUGUGACAUAUAAUGAAAAUAGUAGAUGUGUCUUAUGUUAAAUGUAGAGUUACAAAUUUUACCUUGGGUUGAUUCAAUCUCAAGAACAAUUUUGAUUUCUAGAAAGUCUACUUUUCUAAUGAAAAUAGUAGAUGUGUCUUAUGUUAAAUGUGACUUUCGACUUGUAACAUUUUCUGUGAUAUUUUUCGUAACAGUAGUAGAUGUUUCUUAUGAUAGUUGUAGACAGUCUCAAGAAUCAUUUUGAUUUCCAGAAAGUCUACUUUUGUGUGAUUUUGCUCAUCUGAAUGGUAGAUAUUUCUAAUGAAAACUGUAGAUAUAGAGAGACUUAACGGAGAGUUAACGGUGUUAGUUUGCUUUAACCUGUUAUAACAAGUCAAAACUGGUUGGGUAUCCAUACCUUAAGGCACACAAGUGGCACCCAACAAACAAUUUGAAUUAUGUUCUAGGAUAUUCUGUAUCUUUCUAGAUAUUCUUUAUGUGUGCCUUGGCCUUAUGCCAAUAGGAUAUGUAGUUUGACUAGAUCUAUGUAUUCUUAUCCUUACCAUAUUGGUAUUGUGUAAUUCCUUAUAUAAAGCCUCUUAUCAAUGAAUAAUACACACAUCUUUCACGAUUCUCUAUUCUGAAAUAUCUCUCACUUCAUUAUGUUAUCAUGCACAUUGUUCUAACCCUAGAGCCAAUAGGCCACAAUUUGUUUUCUAAACCCUAAAAACAAUUUUUUUUUCUUUUCAAACCAAAAGUUCCCGGCCCUGCCUCGGUCCCUACACUGUCGUUGCUCCCAACCCGUCGCUUCCCAGCCGUCAGCUCCGCCUUCUUUUCUGGUUUCGCCGAUCAAGCUUUAGAUCAAGAAAUCCGAGUAGUUUGAAGAAAUUUUACGGUAUGUUUUAAAUCCUAAACUCUUCAAAGUUCAAUAAGGGGAGAUAAAGUGUUUUCUCCCUUUCUCCAUCUCCAUUCUAUGGUUGGGAUUUUGUGCGUGCAGGUACCAAAACCCCAGAAUUUUAUUCGCGGGUCAAGAGUAUGUUUGAUCACUCUUGCUUCCUUGUUCGGGUUCUAUAUGAUCAACCUCGACCUUUCUCCGGAUUGUGUUUGAUCAAUCCGAGCCCUUUGUCGAAUUGUGUUUGAUCAAUUAGCGGCUUUUCCGUAUUAUGUAUGAUCAAUCCGAAGGACAAACCAUUAAAAGCAUUGUUUGUGACCUCUAUCGAGUCUCAUAACAGCUUGGUUUUGUAUGCAAGAGCAACGUAACAUUCUGCUCCUUUAAGUUUUGACGUACUCGAUACCUAAGGCGAAUCUUUGCUUGGUAGCUGUGGAACCUUUCAUUGGAAAAGAUUAAACCACAUGUUUGACCCCCAGGCUAACAAGCCUAGAUGCCGAGAUUUCACAUCUCAUGCGCUCAAACUCUUUGACACGCCACAUCGACAAAAGCCUUCAAUGGCAAUCUGUACAAAAAGUAAUGACCACAAAGUACUGUGGAAUUGACACGACCCACCUCGAAUUUCACCCUGAAACCCGGAGUAAGUGGUGCGGGGACCACCUCCAAGAAAGAUAUUACCGAAAAAUCGGCAUAACCUCCCUUGAAAAUGGACAACCCUUCUUAAAGAAAACCUGCAAACACUUCCAAAAAUUUUAAUCCAACCUUAACUCCUGGAGCCUACGUGCUCCCCAAAUACAACUACCACCAACAACACAACAUUAUCCAAACAUCAAAUAUAAUUAUCCAAAAGAUAACAUAAAUCCUCCAACAAAUAUUCUAAGACGUCAACAAGUCUUCACCCACAACCGAAAUAAUACACAUUAAACCCAAGUAUUCAGAGCUACUAACACUAGCGGAAAAAGAAACCACAGGUAGGUUAAAUAGGUAACCUACUGAUGAAAAGUGGUGGAAAUGCGGGUGACUAUGCCUCGUCUCCUACUAGGUCCAACCCGAACUCUGCAGACUGGGCAUUUUAAAACGAAGGGCCUAGGGGAAACAUUUGAACACGUUAGAGUGAGUGGACAAAAAUAAAAUAAAUGAAAUAAUUCUUUAUGCUUUCCCAAUUUUAUUUUUCCAUAGAAAAAUAUGCUGCAUGCGACAGCUCAAAACACUCAACACGAAAACUGGAAAUUUCAUGACUAGCUCCGGCCAGUCUCUAACGCUCAAUAAAAUACAGCCUCUCAGGCUAAAAUAAAAUAUGUAUGUAUUACACUCGUCAUAUCCCUUGUAUGAAUUUUCUUGAAACAACAAAAACAAAUAGAAAAUUCACACAAGGCUACGACGCUUGCGUCUAACGCUCACGUCGCACCAUAAUGGCAUUUUACCUCAUUAUGGUGGAAAGACGGUGUAUAAAUAUACGCGCAUAUCCCCUAUAUAAAUUAUUAUUUUUAUAUAGGGCUACGAUGAUUGCGUCUAACGCUCACGUCGCACCAAAAUGGAAUUUUACCUCAGUAUGGUGGAAAAGCACGUAUAGCUAGCUAGCAUUCUCUCAUAUACAUAUUAUUCUCAUAAUCAUCCACAUAUGGAUAUAUAUAUAUAUAUAUACUCACCGAAAUUUUCAAUUUCGGUUAUUCUCCAACAACAUAAAUUAUUUCGCAUGCACAUUAUUUAAAACAAAAGUCCACUCACAAAUUAGGCCUAAGCCUGAUGUCGAUCUGGGGCCUCGUCAGCUCGAGCCUCCUCACGACCUGUUCCAAAUAUAAUAUUAAGUUCCCAAUUAACAAUCCAAUAAUUAAUCAAAAUAGGCAAAAUUACCCGAGAGCCAUAAACACGCUCAUCAUUACCUAACUUCGAUAUUCUUGAAUCGGAACGAUCCGAACUUAAAUAUCAUCCUCGACAGUCGUAAAUAUAACCUCCCAAAAAUACGACUUAAAUCUUACGGCCGGAUUCUACAUUAAUUAACCGCCAAAAAUACCAAACUUCGGAAAUUCACAAACCUAUCCAAAUCUCAUCCAAAAAUUCCAUAAAUCACCUCAAUAUAAUCCCCUUAAUAUUCCACAUUUAAAACCCUAAAAAUCUCCCAAACCGGCAGCGGCUCCGCAGGCAGCGGCGGUCGGAGGCUAAAAUCAGCGACCUCCAAUUCCUAUGAAAUUUUAACAGCAUCUUACUCUCAUCAUGCUCUACAACUUUCCUAACUAGCACAAACCCAAAAUCCAAGCCUAGCUAUGCCAAUCGAACAAAAACAUCAAAAACGCCCUAGAGCUUCCACCUCAAAUUUCUCCUUACCUGAAGCAAACCGGAGUGAGUCCUUUUAGGGCAAGGCAGCUGGGUUGGAGACCUACAAAACCAUACCAAGCUUGCCCGGAUUGGUGGCCCGAGGAGGGAAUUCCGGCGAAAAGCUUCCCGGCGUCUCCGGCGAGUUUUCUCUUCUUCCAGCGGGCUAACGGCUCGGGGGCUAGGUCGGGGAGGGAGAGGAGGAGAUCGGGGUCCGAACUGGGGUGGAGCGGCGGCCGGUGGCUGGCCGGACGGCGGCAGACGGCGGCUGGACGAUCCGGCGGGGAGGAAGACUCGGGGGGGGGGCGCUGAAGGGAAAAACGGGAGAGAAGGGAGGGAAAAGGGUUGGGCCUCUCCAACCGGUCCACUCCCCAUUAUACCCAACUCCCACAAAAAUAAAACACCCCGAAAAAUAAUACCCGAAUAAAAAUUACCUUUUACUAGCUAAAAUUUACUAUUUUUACCGUCGUCGUAUUUUCCUCAUACGAAUAAUCCUCCGCACAUAAUCGUCCCCGAAACCCCUCUAGGGACCAAUUAAACUAUUAACUAAAUGAUCGAGACGGUAAAAUUCUUAUUAUAAUCAUGCUAGUAAAUAAGGUAAAAAUAUAAGGGUCGGGAUGUGACAGGAAUGUACUCUACUUGUUGACACGACCCACCCCGAAUUUCACCCUGAAACCCGGAGUAAGUCGUGCGGGGACCACCUCUAAGGAAAAUUUACUGAAAAGAUUAAGAAAAUCUCCCUUGCAGAUGGACAACCCUAACUCGAAAAUUCCAAAUUACACUCUUAAUUCAACACGUCCAAACAUCACAUAAUUAUCCUUCAGAAAUUCUACGCAUAAUAUACAAUAAUCCCAAAGUAUUCAGAGCUACUAAACACUAGCGGAAGCAAGAAAACACGAGUAGGUUGAACAGGUAACCUACUGACGAAAACUGGCAGAAAUGCGGGUGACUAUGCCUCGCCUCCUACUAGAUCCAACCCGAACUCUGCAGACUGGGCAAUUUAAAACGAAGGGCCCAGGGGAAAACAUUUAAUAACGUUAGAGUGAGUGGACAAAAAUAAAAUAAUAAAUAAAAUAUUUAUGUUUCCCCAAAUUAAUUUCUAAGGAAAAAUCGAAUGCAUGCCGCAAGCGAUAAAACUUUUAUCUCAUAAAAUAUUGAGCCUCUCAGACUCUAUAAUAUAUGUAUGUAUUUACACUCGUCCAUACUCCCUAUAUAAAUUCAUGGGUCUAUAUAGGGCUACUACGCUCGCGUCCAACGCUCACGUCACGCCUUAAUGCGGUGCUACACUACGCCAUCAAGGUGGACAGACGGGUGUAUAAAUAUGUGUCCAUACCCCUAUAUGAAUUAAACACACAAAUAGGGCUACUACGCUCACGUCCAACGCUCACGUCACACCAUAAUGCGGCUAUAUGCUACGCCAUUAAGGUGGACAGACACAUAUGGCUAGCUAACAUUUAUAUACAUACUCUCUCAUAAAUACAUAUUUAUAUCCACCGAAAAUCCCAUUUUCGGUAACUCUCCAAGAGAAAUAAAAAUCGUCAAAUUAAAAUGACAUUAAAAUAUUCUGCAACAUUAAUUGUUCAACCAUGAACUAUAGCAUGCAUUUAUAUAAAAUAAAUGUCCACUCACAAAUUAGGCCUAAGCCUGAUGUCGAUCUGGGGCCUCGUCUGCUCGAGCCUCCUCACGUCCUGUUCCAAAUAUAAUAUUAAUUUCCCAACCAAUAAUCCAAUAUUUAAUCAAAAUAGGCAAAAUUACCCGAGAGCCAUAAAUACGCUCAUCAUUGCCUAACUUCAAUAUUCUUAAAUCGGAACGAUCCGAACUUAAAUAUCAUCCUCAACAGUCGUAAAUACAACCUCCCCAAAAUACGACUUAAAUCCUACGGCCGGAUUUUACAUUAAUUAACCGCCAAAAAUACUAAACUUCGGAAAUUCACAAACCUAUCCAAAUCUCCUCCAAAAAUUCCAUAAAUCACAUCAAUAUACUCCUCUUAAUAUUCCACACUUAAUACCCUAAAAAUCUCUUAACCGGCGGCGGCGCCGCCGGCGGCUCCGCCGGCAGCGGCGGCCGGAGUCCAAUUCCGGCCACCUCCAAAACCUAUGAAAUUUUGACAGAAUAAUCUCCUCAUCAUGCUCUACAACUUUCUUAACCAGUACAUUACCCAAUUCCAAGCCUAACUAGGCUAAUCGAACGAAAACAUCCUAAAAGCCCUAGAAAAUUCAACUCCACAUUUCUCCUUACCUAGCUCAAGAGGGAGUGAGCUGAUUGGAGGGGUUGCUGCACGGGAGGAGGGCUACAAAACGAGCCAGGGAUCGCCGGUUUUGGUGGCCAGAGGAGGGAGUUCCGACGGCCGGAAGUUCGGGGCAGCCUAGCCUUUCGGGCGGCACCGCUCUCUCACGGCGGCGCUAGGGGGGCUGUCACCGGUCCUGGAAGAUAGCUGGGUCGGAGGGCAACCGAACGGGACCGGAGCGGCGGCAGAUGGUGGCCGGACGGCGGCGUACGGACGGCGAGAAGUUUCCAGCGGGGGAGAGGCUCGGGAGGAAAACGGGAAGAAGAGAGGAAGAAAAAGAAAAAGUGAGGGUUGGGUUUGGGCCUGACCAACCAGGUCCAUCACCUAUAUAACAACCCAAUUCCAAAAAUAAAACACCCCGAAAAAUAACACCCGAAUAAAAAUUACCUUUUACUAGCUAAAAUUUACCAUUUUUACCGUCGUCGAAAUUUUCUUUUACGAAUAAUCCUCCGCACAUAAUCGUCCCCGAAACCCUUCUAGGGACCAAUUAAAUUAUUAACUCAAUGACGGAGACGGUAAAAUUCUUAUUAUAAUCAGGCUAGUAAAUAAGGUAAAAAUAUAAGGGUCGGGAUGUGACAAUUCUCCCCUCCUUAUAAAAAUUUCGUCCUCGAAAUUUACAUACCUGUCAUUCGAAGAGAUAGGGAUAUUGCUGCAUCAUUUGCUCCUCCGAUUCCAAAGUAGCUUCUUUUACUUGAUGACUUCUCCAAAGCACCUUGACAAGUGGGAUUGUCUUAUUCCUAAGCACUUGCUCCUUUCGGUCGAGAAUCUGAACCGGUUCCUCUUCAUAGGUCAAAUCUCUCAUCAAACUGAUCGGCUGCUCUUGCAGCACAUGAGAAGGAUCGGCAAUAUACUUGCAAAGCAUGGAUACAUGAAACACAUUAUGUAUCCUAGCUAACUCUGGAGGCAAAAGUAGCCGGUAAGCAAGUGAGCCAACUCGCUCAAUAAUCUCAUAAGGGCCAAUAUACCUCGGACUGAGCUUCCCACGCUUACCGAAACGCACAACCCCUUUCCAAGGAGAUAAUUUCAGGAACACCUAAUCACCCACUUGAAAUUCAAGAUCUCUCCUACGGACAUCCGCAUAACUCUUCUGCCUACUUUGAGCAGUCUUGAGUCUAUCUCUAACCACUUUAAUCUUCUCAUUCGUACAUNNNNNNNNNNNNNNNNNNNNNNNNNNNNNNNNNNNNNNNNNNNNNNNNNNNNNNNNNNNNNNNNNNNNNNNNNNNNNNNNNNNNNNNNNNNNNNNNNNNNNNNNNNNNNNNNNNNNNNNNNNNNNNNNNNNNNNNNNNNNNNNNNNNNNNNNNNNNNNNNNNNNNNNNNNNNNNNNNNNNNNNNNNNNNNNNNNNNNNNNNNNNNNNNNNNNNNNNNNNNNNNNNNNNNNNNNNNNNNNNNNNNNNNNNNNNNNNNNNNNNNNNNNNNNNNNNNNNNNNNNNNNNNNNNNNNNNNNNNNNNNNNNNNNNNNNNNNNNNNNNNNNNNNNNNNNNNNNNNNNNNNNNNNNNNNNNNNNNNNNNNNNNNNNNNNNNNNNNNNNNNNNNNNNNNNNNNNNNNNNNNNNNNNNNNNNNNNNNNNNNNNNNNNNNNNNNNNNNNNNNNNNNNNNNNNNNNNNNNNNNNNNNNNNNNNNNNNNNNNNNNNNNNNNNNNNNNNNNNNNNNNNNNNNNNNNNNNNNNNNNNNNNNNNNNNNNNNNNNNNNNNNNNNNNNNNNNNNNNNNNNNNNNNNNNNNNNNNNNNNNNNNNNNNNNNNNNNNNNNNNNNNNNNNNNNNNNNNNNNNNNNNNNNNNNNNNNNNNNNNNNNNNNNNNNNNNNNNNNNNNNNNNNNNNNNNNNNNNNNNNNNNNNNNNNNNNNNNNNNNNNNNUUUUAUCCCAACUCCCUCUGAACUGCAUGGCACAAGCCCUCAACAUAUCCUCCAAAGUCUGAAUAGUCCUCUCGGACUGCCCAUCAGUCUGAGGAUGAAAAGCAGUGCUGAAGAGUAAUUGGGUACCUAAAGCUGCCUGAAGAGCUCCCCAGAAUUUAGAAGCAAAUCGAGGAUCCCGAUCUGACACUAUUGAUUCAGGAACACCAUGAAGCCUCACAAUUUCAUUCACAUAAAGCUCCGCCAAUGUAUCCAAUUUAUACUUUUUCCCACUGGCAAGAAAUGUGCAGAUUUGGUGAGUCUAUCCACAAUCACCCAAAUACCGUCAUGCCCUUCACGGGUAUGAGGUAAACUAAAAACAAAAUCCAUGUUGAUGUGGUCCCACUUCCACACUGGAAUAGGCAACGGCUCAAGCAACCCAGAAGGCUUCUGCCUUUCAGCCUUGACUUGUUGAAAAAUCAGACAUCUACUCACAUAAGCUGCAAUUUCCCUCUUCAUGUUUGGCCACCAAUAAUAAUCCUUCAAAAUCCGAUACAUUUUUGUGCUACCCGGAUGAGCAGCAUAUGCAGAGCUAUGAGCUUCCUCCAUAAUCUCACUUCAACUCUUCAUUUCUUUUUGGAACACAUAGCCGGUUCUUAAACAAUAGAGUCCCAUCUCUUCUAACUGAAAAAAAGAUCGGCUGCGGCUCCAUUCGAAGCUCUUUCCAUCAAUCGAACUAUGGAAGGAUCAUUAUACUGUGCUUCCCGCACUCUAUCAACCAAAACUGGCCUCACAUGAAAACUGGCUAUCAAAGCACCUACCUCAUCCACUGAUAAAUCCACUCCUGUAGCUCGCAACUCACAAAGAAGCGGAACAUGAACCAUCUUUAUAUGAGAUAAAGAUAUGGAGGGAUUUCGAUUAAGAGCAUCAGCUACCACAUUAGUUUUUCCAAGAUGAUACUCAAUAGUGCAAUCAUAAUCAUUGAUUAACUCCAUCCACCUUCUUUGUCUCAUAUUAAGCUCUCUUUGAGUGAACACAUACCGAAGACUCUUGUGAUCGGUAAAUAUCUGACACUUGGCUCCAUAAAGAUAGUGUCUCCACAACUUGAGAGCAAAAACUACCGCUGCAAGCUCCAGAUCAUGAGUAGGAUAAUUCCCCUCAUGCGGCUUCAAUUGCCUAGAAGCGUAGGCAAUUACUCGAUCAUGCUGCAUCAAAACUCCACCUAGACCACGUCUAUAAGCAUCACAAAAAACCACAUACUCUCCACUAUCAUCCGGAAGUGCCAAAACAGGAGCACUUGUUAAGCAAUUCUUCAAUUCUUGGAAACUUUGCUCACAUUGAUCUGACCAUUCAAACUUAACCCCCUUCCUGGUCAAUCUUGUGAGAGGAGCAGCAAUAUAUGAAAAAUCUUUCACAAAGCGCCGAUAAUAACCUGCUAAUCCCAAAAAACUACGAAUCUCCGUCACAGUGGUGGGUCUUCUCCAAUUCGACACUGCUUCCACCUUUUGGGGAUCCACACUAACUCCUUCUGCGGAAAUCACAUGACCCAAGAAUCCCACUUUAUCUAGCCAAAACUCACACUUGCUAAACUUAGCAAAUAACUGCGACUUUUCCAAAGUCCGCAAUAUUAUUCUUAGAUGCUUGGCAUGCUCCUUCUCACUUCUUGAGUAAACCAAUAUGUCAUCUAUGAAUACGAUCACGAAACGAUUAAGGUAUGGACUAAACACCCUAUUCAUGAGAUCCGUGAACGCCGCGGGUGCAUUAAUAAGUCCAAAUGGCAUCACGACAAACUCAUAAUGACCAUAUCGUGACCGAAAAGCAGUCUUGGCUAUGUCCCCCUCUCGGAUCCGCAACUGAUGAUAACCCGAUCUCAAAUCAAUCUUAGAGAAAACAGAGGCACCCCUCAACUGAUCAAACAAAUCAUCGAUCCGAGGCAACGGAUAUAUAUUCUUCACUGUGACCUGAUUCAACUUCCUAUAAUCAAUGCAUAGUCUCAUGGUGCCCUCUUUCUUCUUAUCAAACAACACCGGAGCACCCCAUGGAGACAUGCUAGGCCGAAUAAAACCCUUAUCUACCAACUCCUGCAAUUGAGUCUUCAACUCUUUCAAUUCCGCUGGAGCCAUUCUGUAAGGCGCCUGAGAGAUAGGCAUAGUUCCGGGAAGUAAUUCUAUAGAGAAGUCUAUCUCCCUUGCAGGAGGCAAACCAGGCAACUCCUCAGGAAAAACAUUCGGAAACUCUCCUACUUCUGGAAUAUCUUCUAAUCCCACAACUCCCAUACUUGUAUCCACCACAUGAGCUAAAAAUGCCUGACAGCCUUUACUCAACAAUUUCCUUGCAGCAACAGCGGAAAUUAUGCAACUAGAAAUAACAUCUCUUUCCCCUUGGAAAGCAACCUCAAAACCAUCUCGACUUCGAAGCACCACUACUUUUUGAAAACAAUCUACCAUAGCUCUAUAUGCUUCCAAAAAGUCCAUUCCCAAGAUCACAUCAAACUCCACUAUAUCUAAAGGAAUUAAAUCAGCCUCGAAAUUAACUCCUUCCACUAAAACUUCACAGCCACUAAAUACCCAAUUUAUUCUCAUCACCUCACCGGAGGGUAGAGACACAUGCCACUCGCCUGGAAGAGACGAUGAUGGUACAUUGGCAUGGAGGGCAAAUCUACUAGACAUGAAUGAAUGCGUGGCUCCGGGAUCAAUUAAAGUAAAACCAGGCUGACCAAAAAUUAAUAACGUACCAAUGAUGACAUCUGGAGAAGUACGACCCUCCUGCUGGGUCAUAGCAUGCAGUCUAGCGUGAGUCAUGGGACGUCCACGCUGACCACUUCCCCGCUGAGAGCCACCUCUAACCGAAACACUGCCCUGGGCACCACUACUAGAGCCUCCAGCUGAAGACUGACCAACUGGCUGAGUAGGGGUGGGAGUGGUCCUCUGAGCCAACAAUGGGCAAUCUCUCCUGAAGUGGUCCUGACCACCACACUCAAAGCACCCAGAAAACUGCUGCUGCUACCCAUAUGAAAAAGUCUGGCUACCGGAUGACCCACCAUGGAAACUGCCACCCGAACCAUACUGCCCAGACUGCUGCCUACCCAACUUACUCCUAGUAGGUCUCCUGUGACGUCCUCUAACCCUGAACCGAGAAUUAGAACCUGAUCCCCCACUACUGCCACUACCAGCUGAUGAACCUGAAGCGGAUGAUGAAGCAGCUUUCUUGGAUGGACCCUGACUGGGGCCACCGAAAUCUCAUGGCCGAGCACUAUAAAUCCCCAUAGACUCAAUGGCCAUGGCUGCAUGAACAGCGUCAGAGAAAGUCGGGUAAUAAACACCCGUCAUUUUAUCUGCAAACACUCCACCAAGUGCCCCAAUGAACAUCUUCAUCCUGGUCCUCUCAUCAGGAACCAGAUAUGACACAUGAUAGCUCAGGGAAGUGAAUCUCUCCUGGAACUCUAUAACACCCUCAUCAUCCCUCUUCUUCAUAUUCAGGAAAUCCGACUGAAUUCUGCUGCGGUGGGCAGGACUGAAAUAUUGCCCCAAGAAAAGCGUCUUAAACUGCUCCCACGACAUAUUCAGAGCAUCCUCAACAUUCCUGCUAGCGAGCGACCACUAGUGAUGUCGCUGAAUCAUCCAGGAAAGUCACUGCCAUCUUCUUCAUAUUCAGGAAAUCCGACUGAAUUCUGCUGCGGUGGGCAGGACUGAAAUACUGUCCCAAGAAAAGCGUCUUAAACUGCUCCCACGACAUAUUCAGAGCAUCCUCAACAUUCCUGCUAGCGAGCGACCACUAGUGAUGUGCUGAAUCAUCCAGGAAAGUCACUGCCAUCUUCACCUUCCUUUCUUCUGGCAAAUCUGUGCUCGCAAAAGCCUUUUUCAUUUUGUCCACCCAAGUAUAAGCAUCAAGGGGUCCCAUGGCACCCUUGAACUCUCUUGCUCCAGCCUCAUAAACUUCUCUCCUCUUCACUGCAUGAGGGUGUGGAGCUCGAUCUAUGACAUCCCUCAGCAUAUUUCCAAUAUCAUCAACCAGUCCCCUGACCUCAUUGCCCUCAUCGGCAUUGGUCGAAGUAGCCACACGGGGUUGCCGUGGGCGCCUAGGAGGCAUAGUACCUGAGGAAGAAGAAAUUUAGUAGUCCAUAAACAAGACUAACACAACAAUCACAUAUACCCAAUAACACAUAGCAUCAAAAGCAUAAAAUGCCAAUGAAUCCGCCGCGGUCGGAUCAUCACUCUAUAGACACUACGUGCUACUUAGGCAAAUAUGAUAGUGACAAGGAAGCCGGAAAAGGAAACCUAUAGCUCUGAUACCAACUGACACGACCCACCCCGAAUUUCACCCUGAAACCCGGAGUAAGUCUUGCGGGGACCACCUCCAAGAAAAAUUUACUGAAAAGAUUAAGAAAAUCUCCCUUGUAGAUGGACAACCCUAACUCGAAAAUUCCAAAUUGCCUAACUUCGAUAUUCUUAAAUCGGAACGAUCCGAACUUAAAUAUCAUACUUAACAGUCGUAAAUACAACCUCCCCAAAAUACGACUUAAAUCCUACGGCCGGAUUCUACAUUAAUUAACCGCCAAAAAUACCAAACUUCGGAAAUUCACAAACCUAUCCAAAUCUCAUCCAAAAAUUCCAUAAAUCACAUCAAUAUACUCCUCUUAAUAUUCCACACUUAAUACCCUAAAAAUCUCUUAACCGGCGGCGGCGCCGCCAGCGGCUCCGCGGGCAACGGCGGCCGGAGGCCAAUUCCGGCGACCUCCAAAACCUAUGAAAUUUUGACAGAAUAAUCUCCUCAUCAUGCUCUACAACUUUCUUAACGAGCACAUUACCCAAUUCCAAGCCUAACUAGGCUAAUCGAACGAAGACAUCCUAAAAGCCCUAGAAAAUUCAACUCCACAUUUCUCCUUACUUAGCUCAAGAGGGAGUGAGCUGAUUGGAGGGGUUGCUGCACGGGAGGAGGGCUACAAAAACGAGCCAAGGAUCGCUGGUUUUGGUGGCCGGGGGAGGGAGUUCCGACGGCCGGAAGUUCGGGGCAGCCUUGCCUUUCGGGCGGCACCGCUCUCUCACGGCGGCGCUAGGGUGGCUGUCACCGGUCCUGGAAGAUAGCUGGGUCGAAGGGCAACCGAACGGGACCGGAGCGGCGGCAGAUGGUGGCCGGACGGCGGCGUACGGACGGCGAGAAGUUUCCGACGGAGGAGAGGCUCGGGAGGAAACCGGGAAGAAGAGAGGAAGAAAAAGAAACAGUGAGGGCUGGGUUUGGGCCUGACCAACCCGGUCCAUCACCUAUAUAACAACCCAAUUCCAAAAAUAAAACACCCCGAAAAAUAACACCCGAAUAAAAAUUACCUUUUACUAGCUAAAAUUUACCAUUUUUACCGUCGUCGAAAUUUUCUCUUACGAAUAAUCCUCCGCACAUAAACGUCCCCGAAACCCUUCUAGGGACCAAUUAAACUAUUAACUCAAUGACGGAGACGGUAAAAUUCUUAUUAUAAUCAGGCUAGUAAAUAAGGUAAAAAUAUAAGGGUCGGGAUGUGACACUUGUUGAGUUAUUAGUCAUGUGGAUUGCUUACCACCUUAAUUGACUACAUAUUGUCGAUGAACUUUUAUGGCAUCAUGAUCCAUAAUUUUUAGCGGAUUCGAUCAUCAUCAAGUUCUCUAGGUCCUCCAAGUUGGUUUGGAAUUACCAACGGGACUUGAUUUUUAUCAUACAAUUGCAAACAGGAAUUGUAUAUACGCUAAUGUGAUAAACAUAUUUGACAUUAUCCCCUAAUAUGGGGACAACAAUAUGGGUCAUGUCAACGGCAUAAAAUGCCAUGCCGAUGUCUAGAAAAGAGGGGGAGGUGUCGCCGGCCCUAAUGGCGACACUCCCGGUCUAGACAUCAAUCUGUCAAAACUACUCACGUCCGCUUAUGACAAUGCAACCAUUGUGGAUCUCCGGAUCGUUGGUUGAAGAGUUAUCGAGCUAUCCUUCAAAUUGUUAAUGCAUACAAAAGGGUACAGAAAAUCAAUAUGAGGAGAAGAACGUCAUCCUCAUGAUCGCGGAUUUCAAAGAUUCGGAUCCUGCUCUAGCUACCCAUGACUUUGACGUCAUUGGCUAGACAUUGAUUUUCUUUCCAAGCUAUAUGUAAUACAGCGUCGUAUCGACGUCCUUCGUCUAUUUGAGACCUCGAUGUACUCACAUUAGCAAUAAUGAAUGCCUUGAGAAUUUUUUUUUCGAAGUGAAACUAUUCUCCUCUUAUGGUUCGUAUUGAUUUACAAAAAAUAUAUACAUUCUUACAUCGUCCUUAGAAACAUGGCAUAUUGUGCCAUUUUGGUCCCUUCCUUUGAAGGUGACUCAUGGCACCGCAUCCUCAAGGAGGAUCGCCCACGUGUUUCCGGUUGAGUCUUCUACCCUAUAGCGGAUUUUCCAUCAUCAAUUGUUCAACUAGGCUCAUCUAAGUUCAGUGUGAUGUCUUAGAAUUGUCCGAAAUUAAGAAGAUAGUGGUUUAAGUGUGCCUCGCACUACCGACCCUCUACGGACAAGCCUGGUCAUACUGAUUUGGAGUUACCGAAAGCUUUUGAUUUUGGAUCCCCGUACGCUAUUAAACCAAUUGUCGUCUUGCAAAAGAUGUUGAAGACUUAUCAAAACCGGACAAUCAUCAUCAUGAUCGAAUCCUCUAGGUCUUCUGAGUUAGUUUAUGUUCAUGUCAAGGAGCUUUUGCUAACUAGUCAUGGAGUUUACGACCUUGGAACGACUGAAAGGACUUGAUUUUGAUCAUGCACACAUCACUUUUGGCUAAGGCAAAAGCCUACAUGCAACCUGCAAGCUUCACAGCUUCGCACAUGCCAAUUCUGCGAAAAACAGCAAUCUGUCUCUUCUAGACAGUCAACUUCGUUUGAGCUUUGUGAACAGCUCUGGACGAACUAGAUAGUGAGCUUUAUAUCAUUGGAAAGCUCUACGAGUCUAGUUUUCAGAACCUUUCGCGGUUCAUCCAUAUCUAUUUUAACAAAGAAGUUAUGGCUGUUUUAGUGCGCAAAAGUCAUUCCGCACGGAAAUUUUAAUGCACUCUCAGGAUUGCAGCUUUUUGUAGCUUCUUUCAAUCCUUCUAAAUGGUUCAAGUGGAACUAUUUACUCUCCUAUCUACUCCAUUUUGUACAUCUGUCUCAUAGAGACAUUAAGUGCUUCGCAAACAGUGGAACUAUUCACAACAUUCUAAGGAACCGGCAACUAUCUUUGGAUAUUAUGCCUUUGUAAAUCUUCUGUAUUGAGAGACACGGUUUAGCUUGAAUUUUGAUGCCUCAUGGCACCAUGAUCAACGUCACAGAUGCCCUCUAUGCAUUGAGAGGCAACCGAACCAUGUUGAGCUUUAAAGACAUUCUUGCUAAUAGUUUUUAUUUGAAAACACAUUAUGAGAAUGAACAAGAAUUCUUUUGUGUAUACAUUCUCAUGAAUGUGGACUGAAAUGCAUCUUGGAGAAGUUCAUGAGUCAAUUUAAUGGAUUGUAUGUCACUACGAUUCGAGUAUCGAAUCCCAUGUUGUCGCCAAACAUGAUAUUUGGGACACCGACUCAUAGAGGCUUUGGUUUGACCAAAUCGGUCAACCUCGAAGAGAUAUAAUGGUCCAAAUUUUGAGAAACAUCCAUUCUUCUGCUCAAAACGAAGACAUUCGGGAUCUAACAUCACCAUGAAGCAUGGUGGUGACCCAGGGGACAUUUGUAACACCCCGGACCAAAUUCUACCUAUUUACUAGGUAUUCUACGAGUUACUGAAGAAUUUAACUGUGUUCGGUAAUUUGGUAAUUUAACACUCGAGUUUAUUGUUGAGUUUUUCUUAAAAUGUUAAAUUCCUCUUUUAAGGCCUCGAUAUAGUAGUACGUGUCGACACAGGUUCAACAGUGGCAUUGGAUUAUUUGUUGGAGCUUCGAGUUAUUUUUUCUAUUAUUUAUUAGAGGUUUGGUUUUAGAAAUUUAUUUUCUCGGAAGAAAAUAACUUUUAUCCGGGCUUCCAUUAGGGUUUUGAUAUGAGUUGUAGAAUUUAAGCUUAAAAGGUAAAGAGGAGGUUGACCCAGUCAAAGAACCCAACUCGGGUUUGACCGAGCCCAACAGAGUCUCCUCCUUCUCUCUCACUUCUCUCUCGUCGUUCGCCUUCUCCGGCGCAAUGGCGACGAUUCCGAGCACCUCCCACAGCGUAACUACCACCAAAAUAUUCUUCUCUUCAAUCUCUACAAAACCCAUACCUCAGUUCACACAGGCAUCCACAUACGAGGGAGAUCGAUGUCGAAGAGGCACGGCUGUGUUUCUCGUUUUCCGGCGAGCUCCGACGGCGACGGCGAUAGUGAGGGGUAGGAUUCUUCUCCUUUUUCCUUCUUCUCCCUUCCUAUGUCUUUAAUCUUUUGAUUCGUGCCCUAAUCAGAGGAACCCUUUUCUCCUGUUUUUGGGUUUUCACGGCGUAUCUCCGGCGACCGAGUUCUUGCCGUUUCCGACCUCUUCUCCAUGUUCCGACAAGCAAGGCUACUUCUUGGCAGACCCAGUGGCCGAGUGGAGGAGGUGGUUGGAGUUUGGUAGCAGAUGGGGUUCUUCUGGUUGGGACAGUGAGAGGCAGAGGGCUGCAGGUCGGUCUCCGGCAAGGAGAAGUUUCUGGGUUGGGGUUUUGAGCGGACUGAAGGUAAAGGUUAAAAAUCUGAGCUGCUGUGUUGUUGCUAUGUUGUGCUUAUUGUGUUGUUUAGGUGUUGAUUCGGCUGUUUCCUUUGUGAUAUGUCGAGAACUUGGUGUUUUGAAGAACACGGGGAGGUUAUGGCCAUUUUCUGGUGAGUGGCCGGAAUCCGGUAGAAUAUUCCGGCAAGUCGCCGGAAUCCGACGAAGGCAGUAAUUUUGGAAGAAGGUGAUGAGGUAGUUAUCGACGUUUUUCCUUUCUGAUUUGUAUCGUUUCAGAAAUGGAAAGUUUGUCGGUUUGUAAUCGGAAAUCUUUCUAAGGGAGGAAAGUUUCUAUUUUAGGAAACUUUCCCUUUUUUGGAAGCUUCCUAUUUAUGGAAACCCAUUUGGGUGCCCUUAGUAAAUUUUGGAAGUAAAUUGGUUGUUGUAUUAAAGGCAUGGAAAUUGAUUAUGACUUCGAUUCCAAGUUAAGGUUUUGUUUAGAGGCAACGUUCGAGGAGUAUUCCAAGCAUUAUAUUGAGAAGUUUAAGCCUAACACUGUGAGUGGACAUUUUGGUUUUUCUUAAAUAUGCGUGCAUGACUUUAUAAAUUAUGAUUUUAUUUUCCGAGCAUAUAUUAUAACUUCGGCUUACUAAAUGAUCUUGGAAAUUAUUUUAAGUUUGAUGCAUGGAUUAAUUGUGCACCAUGAUUUAUGGAUUUGAGCUCGGAUCAUUAAUUUGGUACUUGAGUUUGGAUAUCAUUUAUGAUUUCCGGAUUUAAUUAUUAUCGGCUUUAUUGUUGACUUUGAGAUUUAUUAAAGACUACCGAAACUGGGAUUUUCAGUAAUUCUCUUUUUAUAACUUUCUCGGUUAUUUGUGGUUUAUCGACCUUGACAUUGAGAAUAUUUUGACGUGUGAGACACGUCAUUGAGUAUUGUUACAUUGCUUGGUUGAGUGGGCCGGGAUACUUAUCUCGUGAGCUUUAUCUAGUGGGCCGGGAUACCUUUCUCGUGAGCUCUAUCUAGUGGGCCGGGAUAUUUAUCUUGUGAGCUCUAUAUGAUCUUCUUAUUUCAUUAUAUAAGGGUUGUUGUAUAUUAUUAUUGCUAGCUAGCCUUUAGCGUGGGACGUUAUUAAUAGAGUCUGGGAGGCUCCGACCCUAGCCUGGGAGGCUCAUCUUUAUGGUGAAACCCCUUUCUAGUUUCUUGGAUUUAUUCGAACCAACGGGAUUGGUUCGUCAUUUGUACUCUUUUAGAAGUAUUAUGAGUGAGCAUCAAGUGUUGCAUGCAUAGUUGUAUUUUCGUUGAUCAAAUCGGGAAAACAUAAAUAUUUUUAUUGGUUUAUUUCCUUUAAAUUUAUUCUUGUCCACUCACUCUAACGUUUUCGAAUGUUUUCCCCUAGGCCCUUCGGUUUUAAAUGCCCAGUUUGCAAGUUAGUAUAAUUGAGGUCGGGCGUACUUGGAGUCGAGGCAUAGUCCAUCGUAUAGCUUAAGCUUAAAUAUAUAUUUAUCUCCCCUUCACUGUUAGAAUUGCUCUGAACCUAUUAAUUGUUGGUUAUGGGAUUUUUGUUAGAUUAGUAAAUAUAAAUUUUUUAGAUGUUGUGAUUUGUGGGGAGCACGGAGGCUUCAGGAGUUUAUAAGAUUGAAGUUGAAAUUUUUAGAAGUGUUUGCAGGUAUUUUUAUUUAGGAAGGGUUGCCUAUUUUCAAGGGAGGUUAUGCCGAGUUUUCGGUAAAUUUUCCUUGGAGGUGGACCCCGUAGGAUUUACUUCUGGUUUCAGAGUGAAAUUCGGGGUGGGUCCUGACAACAUUGACGUCACCCGAACACGGCUCCAACUUCCCGAAGGCCGUCCGGUCAAUUCCUCAAGCAAUUGAGGUGCACCGGCCUUCCCUCUAUGUCUCAUUGGCCCCUGUAAUGCUCAUUGCUCGUUUUGAAAGCCUAUUUUUAACUAAAUUAGGAGUGAGACUCUCCUAUGCUAAAUUACACAAAGUGAACAUUCCAUUCUUACAUCAACCUAUGUUGAUAGAUACAACCAACUUGCGAACACCUUUUUUUAUGCUUUAUGGUGUUGGUUGAAGUGUUAACACACUGGUCACGUGUUACACUAUUAUCUACUGCUUAUGCUGCUUAUACUUCUACGGGCUCACUACCCAUUCUUUAAAAAAGUUUAUCGGGAUGUCAGUUGAAGUGUCUUGUACCCCAUGUUCACACGCAAUACGGUCUCACCGAGGCUACGACCAAGCAACUUUAGCUUGUCGCUCGAACAUUAUUGAUGCACACCAAUCUUUUUAUUGCGUCUUGGGGCUAUGCAAUAUUUGCAUGCAGCUUUACUAUUCAUCUACGACCCACCAUCAUUGAAUAUUUUUGUACUACAGCUCGUGACUGUCACUACCAGGACAAGCACUUUAGCCGACGAAAAAGUUUCAUCGGCCAGUUAGCUUAAUUCGUCGGCUAAGAUCUUACCCGACGAGCCUUCGUCGGCUAUAGUUUCGUCGGGAAAGAGGCGUCGGUGAUGACUUUAGCCGACGAAAUUAGAAAACGUCGUCGGCUAUUGUCCCAGUAUUUAGCCGACGACAGAAGACGUCGUUGACCAUAGUCUGAGACUUUAGCGAACGAAACAUUUAAGAUAUUCGUCGGCUAAAGUAUGUAAUAAAAAAUUAAAAAAUAACUAUAGCCGACGAAAUAUAGUCUGUUUCGUCGGCUUUAGAAGUGUUUAGCCGACGAAACAUGCCAUAAUUUGUCGGCUAAACCUUAUAAAAAAAUUAAAAAAUACUAUAGCCGAAUAUAGUCGGCUAAAGUAUUUAAAUAUCGUCGGCUAAAGUAUUUAAAUAUCGUCGGCUAAAGUAUUUAAAUAUCGUCGGCUAAAGUUGCUGGUUUUUGAAAAAAAAAACUGUAGAAACUUUCGGCCACCUCCAAUCAUCACCAAAAUUUGACAAAAUCUUCCUCUCAACAUUUCGAACAACUUUCUAGAAGAAGUCAAACCCAAUUCUAAGCCUAAACAGGUCAAUUGAAUCAAAAUAUAAAAAUCCCUAAUUUUAAACCCUAAAAACUUUAAAUCUUCGAUUCUCUUCACACACACCGAAUCGAGCUACCAAAUUCUAGGGGAAUGUAGUACUAAUCAAACUCAACUUAUCCAUAUAUAGAACUCACCAAAUGGUGACCUAAGGAAGGAGAAAUUCGAUCGACACCGAAUCCAAACCGGCGGAGUUUUAGAGCUCGAUUUAUCCCUCACGGCGGCGCCACUCAAUGCACCACCUGUCCAGCAAUGAAGUAGAGAUGACGGCGAAGUUUUUAGGACAAGUGUGGCGGUCUCCGGUGGCUUGACGGCGGAGCUAGGCCGAGAAGAAAAUCCGGCAGGCGAAACAAUAACUUUUUCUGAUUUUCUGACUUCUUACCAUCCACCUCUGGUAAAACUCCUAUAUAAAGAACUUUACCCGACGAAAUUCUUUAUUUUCAUCGGCUAAACUCUUUUGAAAAUUUUGAUUGACCGCAAAAAUUUUUUUGACAAUAGCCGACGAAAUCAUAUAUUUUCGUCGGCUAGAGUCCUUUGAAAAUUUUCCUCCAAAUUUGGUUUACCACCAAAAAAAUUUUGACCUUAGCCGACGACUUUUUUAAGAUCUCGUCAGCUAAAGUCUAUAAAUUCACGAAAACGCUCAUAUCUCCCUCUAUAGUAAGUAGUUUGGUCAAACCUUCCACACGAAAAACUUUCACGUAGAUGAGACGCAACCGCCUAUAUAAAAAUUUGAGACAUUUACCUUCCGACGAUAGGGCUCCCCAUAGGGAAUAAUAACGGUAAAUAGGGUUGACCGCUACUAUCGGUACCGAGACGUUACCUGAUUUACAUGAUUUUUGAACCAUAGCCGUAUUUCACCAUUCUAAACACAUCUUAUUUCACGAGAUUUUUGAUAAUUUUGCUUCCUAUGUAGAGUUGGUUCACAAAGUUGUAUUACCUACUAAACAAGUUAUACAACAUUCGUAGACACGUUGUGAUUACGAUGAUUAAAAUUCACAAACCAAAAUUCGACCAUCAGAUAUGAUCAUUAUGAUAAAAGAUGUCUGGAAUUCAACUGGAUCCGACAACGUUAAGGGCUCGAUCGAAACGGUCAACCCUAAUCCAUCGUCACUUAUCACACAAAAACGCUCAUAUCUCCCUCUAUAUUACAUAGUUUGGUCAAACCUUCCACAUGAAAAACUCUCACGUAGAUGAGACGCAACUGACCAUAUAAAAAUUUUGAGACAUUUACCUUCCGACGAUAGGGCUCCCCAUAGGGAAUAAUAACGGUAAAUAGAGUUGAUCGCUACUAUCGGCACCGUGACGUUACCCGGUUUACGUGAUUUUUGAACCAUAGCCGUGUUUCACCAUUCCAAACAUGUCUUAUUUUUACAAAAUUUUUGAUAAUUUUGCUUCCUAUGUAGAGUUGGUUCACAAAAUAUAAAAAUUUUGAGACAUUUACCUUCCGACGAUAGGGCUCCCCAUAGGGAAUAAUAACGGUAAAUAGAGUUGACCGCUACUAUCGGCACCGAGACGUUACCCGGUUUACAUGAUUUUUGAACCAUAGCCGUAUUUCACCAUUCUAAACACGUCUUAUUUUCACAAGAUUUUUGAUAAUUUUGCUUCCUAUGUAGAGUUGGUUCACAAAGUUGUAUAACCUACUAAACAAGUUAUACAACAUUAGUAGACACGUUGUGAUUCUGAUGACUAAAAUUCACAAACCAAAACUCGACCGUCAGAUAUGAUCAUUAUGAUGAAAGAUGUCUAUGGUAAAAAAUUCAACUGGAUUCGACAACGUUAAGGGCUCGAUCGAAACGGUCAACUCUAAUCGGAAAUAAGAAAACUGCAUUUUGAAGCCCUAAAUAGACUUGGAUGGCCAAAAAGGCCCAUAUUUCAUGGCAUAGCAAUGAGUUUGACUCGUAGGGCCGUUACGCUUCCGGAAAGGUAUCAUAAUAGUCAAUCGGACACUGAACGCCAAAUCUGCAGCAUACCGGGUUUCGAUUGUUCUACAUCAGAGACGUUACCCGAUUUACGUGACUUUUGAACCAUAGUCGUGUUUCACCAUUCUGAACACAUCUUAUUUCAUGAGAUUUUUGUUAAUUUUGCUUCUAUGUAGAGUUGGUUCACAAAGUUGUGUAUUUGUUUAAAACCUACUAAGCAAGUUAUACAACAUUUUAUUGUUUUUCUUUUAGCAGACGGAUAAUAGCCAACGAGAUUUUUUUUCGCCUACUAAAAUACUUUAGCCGACGAGUAAAAACUUUGGCCGACGAAAAAAAAUUUUGUCGGCUAAAGUAUAGUAUAGCAGACGAAAUUUUUUUUCCGUCGCACUAGGAAGAAAACAAACUUAGCAUAACCUGAUCCAUUGAUCAGUGAUACUCAAAUCUGUCUCAUGAAGUCUGAAUUGUGAUUAUCGUUGGGGGACACCUCAAUGUCAAAUCCAAUCCAUAUAGAGAUCUAUACAAGUAUUACACUAGUGUACAUGAGGACGCGGGAUAAUGAGUCUACUAUCGAACCACCCUUCGUUGAUUGGCCAAAUGGAAAGAUGCGAUCCAGCAUUAACAAAGAGAUAGGUCCUUGGGCAGGUGAUGCCGACACCGCAAGUUAAACCCUAUCAACUAUGCCUUUGUUAGAUAGCGUAGUGAGAACAAGAGCUUAGACUCACCUUAUGGCGCAAGGUCUCUCACUAACAAGCACUGAGAUCGACUACGAUGAGAUAUGCUCUCGUAAUGGAUGUCAUUGCACUCCACUACUUUGUCAGUUUGGUAGUUUUCCGAAUAACUGAACAUGCAGCCUAUGAAUGUGGUCAUAAUAACAUCUCUACAGGAUCAGAGAUAUACAUGAAGAUCUUAAACAGACUUCAUUCAUCUUAAUCAAGUUGCUCCAGACCACAGGAGCACGCGUUCGCUAAAGGUUUUGAAACGCACAUUAAGUAACUAAUUUGCGUGUUCAUUCUGGAUUUACAUGGACUCUUGAUGGAUCAAGAGAUGCCAAUAUGUAUCAACAUUUUAAGAAAAAGAUCUUGAGAAGACACAGUCUCGACAAGGCACUCGAUGAUUGUAUUGAUGAUGAUUUUCCAUCAAUCGGCUUAGGCGCUCUAUAACUAGUGAGGCCUACAUAUACUCCCAUGAUUAGUCAAAGUCUUUGCUUUAAAGAGAGAUCCGUUUUUUUGUCUAAAGCAAGAUGACAAAUAUGUGUUAAGAGAUGGAGUUCCCAUCUAAGUACAAUAAGAUGCAUCAAUGUACUCAACACAAUACGAAACACUUGACAUCUCAUUCGUUAUGAAAAGUUGUAAAGCUAAGUGUAGCUAUGCGCCCACGUAACGCCAAUGUAAUGGCAGUAACUCUUUUUUUAAAUAGUUAAUGGUAUGAAAGGUUGAGGCUUAUUCUAUCCCUACAUAAGAAAGACACAUCAAUAGCGAAAUUAGAAUCUGCCAAGUUUCGUAGGUCAAUUUCUACGGGACCUACAGGAAAUUUCACUCACUGGAAAAUGGUGAAAUUGGUGCCACUGGAAAGCUCUAUGUGUCUACUUUCCAGGGACACCAACCAUUUAAUCAUAUCUAUCAUAUUGAGUGAGUUAUGGCUUUUUUCGUAAAGUAGGACGAAUCUGUCCGAGAAUCUGAUUUUGGCAAAACAGUUAAAUUUGACAGGACUUUGUGAAUAGCUCCUGACGAACCAGAACAUGUGUAAUAUACAGUUGGAAAGCUAAAUGAGUCUAGUUUCCAAAACCGUUUACGGUUCAUUCAUAUGUAUUUCCUAGAGGAAGUUACGGCUGUUCUAGUAACUGAAGGUCAUGCUGUGCGGAAAUCUGAUUUCCUGCACGAACUUAUGUUUUGAGUUCACAAGCGGUCUUCUCCUCAAGAUCUAAAUGUAAAAGAUCAUGUUUGAGGACAAUACGGCAUGAUCUAGUUAAUCAUUGCCCAAUGCCACAUUUGAAGACAUGUUAAAGAGCAUUGACAUGCGAAGUUAUUGAAGUUUCCGUGAUUAGUAAGAAUCAGGAAGAGCCCUAUGAUUGAUGUAAGGGAAAAUUUCAAAAACAGUACACCAAUUAUGGUCCACUCUAAAGACUAGUACAUUAUCUUUUGAGAAAAUCAAAACAGUACAUGAAGUUGUAAUUAUGACCCAAAAUCGAUACAUGCCGUUAUUUUUUCUGUUAUUUGGUGUCUCUACCAUUAAACUUCAAAGGAUAAAUUCGUCCUUCUCUUGCUUCCUCCUUCUAUCUCUGAAACUAGAAAAAGCUGCAGCAAUUUUGCAAACUCUUUUAAAUAUAAAACAGAUGAGCAUGAACCAAAAAAAACCCAAAAUCCCAAAACCCUGUAUGGUUCAUUGGUUCUUCUACCAAGGGUUUUAAUCUCCAAUUUAUUUAUGAAACCCAUUGCUUCCUAGUGAGCCCAACCGCUGUCCUCUCACCAGAAUCAUCGUCUUAAAUGAAAAAAGUUAAAAAAAAAAAAAAAAAAGUAGAUUCCUCCUGCAAUUAUGAAUGGGUAUUGCAUGUUCUUCUAUUUGUUCAUAUCUGGGUAAUAUUGUUGCUUUUUUUUGUUGUUGCUAUGGUAUGGUAGGAUUGUCAAACUUCAAGAAUUUGUGAAGAACAUUUCAAACCCGUCACCAUGCGAACUGAAUUUCCAACCCCAAAAUCAAUAGAAAAAACCCAAACUCAUCUAUUUUAUAUUUAAAAAAGUUUGCAAAGUUGCUGUAGUUUUUUCUUGUUACAAAGAUAUAUAGAAGGAGGAAGCAAGAGAAGGACGAAUUUAUCCUUUGAAGUUUAACGGUAGAGACACCAAAUAACAGAAAAAAUAACGGCAUGUAUCGAUUUUGGGUCAUAAUUACAAUUUCAUGUACUGUUUUGAUUUUCUUGAAAGAUAAUGUACUAAUCUUUAGAGUGGACCAUAAUUGGUGUACUGUUUUUGCAAUUUUCCCUUGAUGUAAAGAUCAGGGGGAGGUGCGAACUUCAGGGGGAGUCUAGCACAUACAUACAUGUCACUAUCAAAUGUGAAGGGUGCGUUGUACUCUUUUUCUCCUACGAUUAAGGUUCAGUUUUUCUCCCACAGGGUUUUUGUGACUUGACGAGGUUUUUGACGAGGCAAAAAAUCAGCACCAUCGGCAUAUCAGCGCGCGGCACAAGGGAGAGUGUUCUAGGAUAUUCUGUAUCUUUCUAGAUAUUCUUUAUGUGUGCCUUGGCCUUAUGCCAAUAGGAUAUGUAGUUUGACUAAAUCUAUGUAUUCCUAUCCUUACCAUAUUGGUAUUGUGUAAUUCCUUAUAUAAAGGGCUCCUAUCUUUGAAUAAUACACACAUCUUUCACAAUUCUCUAUUCUCAAAUAUCUCUCACUUCAUCAAAUUAGUAAUUAAUGGUUAUUUGAAUUAUGAGACUAGAGUUAGAAUAAAAAUUAUGAUACUCAUCCUAAUUUAAAGAUAUUGAGGAAAAAGAUGCAGGAAAUGGCCUCAACUUGAAAAGUUAAAACUUAGAAGUAUAUACCUAUCUUCUCAUCAGGAAUGGAGGUAGAAAAUCCCUUUAAGAUUGGUUUAUAUUAGUAAGGAUGUCUAACACAACAUCACACACUAAAUUCAUAAACAAGAGAACCCUGACAAGCAACGAAUUGACAAACACAAUAUAGUAUGCAGGUCUUCAAAUUACAAAGCAAACCAAACUAUCUAACUAGUUGUGCAACAAAACCCCUCAAUUAUAAUUGGUUUUUAGACAACCCAUUUGAUAACUAUUACUUUGAAAAAUUAAUUAUGAUUUGUUGGCAAGUUUGGAGAGCAAGGAACGAUACUAUCUUUAGGGGUAAGAAUCCCAACCCCAAAUCUAUUCCAGUUCUUGCUGCUUGCCAUCAAAGCAAUGCCCUACAAAUUGAUAUGCAAAGGUCUACAAUGCAUGAUCCUGUUGAAAUGAACAUGAUUAGGUGGUCACCACCCCCUUCAAAUUGGGUUAAAAUAAAUUUUAAUGGUUCUGUAAGAAGUAAAGCUGCUGCUGGAGGUUUUAUUUUAAGAACAGAAGAUGGUAAACCUCUUGUGGCAGCUGCCUUCAACUCUAGUGUUGCUAGUCUCUCUCUUGCCGAAACUCUUGCACUAAGAAAUAGUCUAGUAUGCGCUAAAGAGAAAGGCUUAUCAAAGAUUGAAGUAGAAGAUGAUUCCAAGCUCAUCAUUGACAUUGUGAAUGGAGUUUGUGAUCCCCUUUGGAGGCUUCUGAAGAUAUUCCAAGAUAUAAAUUUUUUUGAGAUGUAAUUUUGUAUCCAUCAGCUUCAAACAUGUAUUGAGGAAAGCUAAUUUCGUGGCCAAUGUUUUGGCUAACAUAGGGCAUAGGGUUGAGAAUUGUCACUUCUGGGAGGAGUGUCCCGAAGCAUUUCUUGCCCUUGCCUUCGACAAUGUAAACUCUGGGUGCCGGCGAGCACCUCUAUUUAAUAGAUUUUCUUCUCAUCAAAAAUAAAUAAAAAACAAAACCCCUCAAUUUCCAUAAACUCUAACUGCUCCAAUCAUCAGAAACAACAGUUUCGUACACAUUCGAUUGCAUACACAGAGAAUUAAACCUAUAUUUAUGAAUCUCAAAAGACUGGAUUAUGAAAUUACCUCGAGCUUUUCCUCGUUGUUCGCCAUAUUGAGUUCGGAGCUCUAACACGAUCUCACCUCUCUUUCUUCCUCUCUACCUCUCUCCUCUCUCUCUCUCUCUCAAUCUCACACUGGCACUCUCUCUAUGUGUGUUUCUCGUUCAAUUUUGUGUUUCACUAUAAACCCGUCUAGUGGCAGUAGGGUUUGUUCAGCUUGAGGGGGACAUGUGGCGGCAUCCUACUUGAUUGUAUACUGUCCAAGUUUUAUGAAACAUCGCCGUAUUAAACUGAAGAGCAGGCAUGACAUUGGACAAAGAGAGUCCACCCUAAUAGUUUUACCUAUAUAACUCCACUUUUCUUACUCAAAUUAUUUCCCCUUGACUGUCUUACCCUUGUGCAUAAAGAUAUUAGACCUGUGGCGCUCAAAAUGUCUCUCAUUGCUGUCACCCAAAGGGCCAAAACCUCGCUCUGCAACGCCGGCUCGACUACGAUUGCGGUCACCACCGACAACAACGUCGGCUCGACCUCGACUGCAUCUCCAAUUCUAUCGACGAUGACCUCCGACUCGACAUCGGCUGAAUCUUCGAUUUUGACCUCGAUUGGAUCUCCGAUUCUGUCGUCGACAACCUUGAUUGGAUCUCUUAUUCCGUCCUCGACCGGAUCACCAAUUUGGCCGACAAAAACCUCGAUUGGAUCUCUGAUUCUUUCAAUGACCACCUCAACUCGAUCUCUGAUUCCAUCGACUGAGUCUUGCUCGACCUUAGCUGCAUCUCUAAUUCGGUGACAUAAGUUUCUAAUCUCGUUGGCUUUGGUUUACACGAAUUUAAAACAAGCAACUAUGUGCUUUGCUUAUAUUUGUUGUGUGAUGGUGAUGGUUUUUAGGAUGAAAGAGAAGCACGGGAGCCUCAAUGUGAAGGCGAAGUAGAGAAAUAACCAAUUAGGAUCCGGAUCGAGGGAUAUCUAUUUUUACACAAAUUUUGACACUCGUUUUUAGCUUUUAGAUUUUAAAUUUUUUAACGGUGUAGAUUAAUUGUGGAUAUGAUGUGAACCACUACUAGAAAUAAGUUCUUAGGUGACGAAAUUUUUUCGUCACCUAAGAGCUUCUAUUGUCCUGUAUUGAUGUAUACACUAAUACGACGAAAAUUUCGUCACCUAAGGUUCGUCAUCUAAGGGCGGUGGUUAGAGCACUUAGGUGACGAAAAUAUGAAUUUCGUCAUCUUAGUAAUGACUAAGAUGACGAAAACCUUUUUGUCGCCAAGAUACUUAGCUGACGAAAUAAUUUUCGUCGCCAAACUACUUAGUUGACGAAAAUAAUUUUGUCGCAAAUCUGGUUACAUGACGUAGUAUGACCAGCUAAGGUGACGAAAUCAGUCAUUACGAAAACACUAACACUACGAAAACAGUCAGUUUGCUGACAAUUCUUUCAUCGGGCUAGGGCCACGAAAGUUGAAUUUUCAUCACCUUAGUGCUAUUUAUAUUUAUUAAAUUUGAUCAUUAAUAAUUAUUAAAAUCACAUUUAAUAUUAACAAAAAUAAAUUUAAAAAAAAAGUCUCAAUAUUUCAAAAACCCACUAUUGGCCAAAGCAGCACCUAGGCAGUAGCAAACAUAUAUAUAUAUAUAUAUAAUCAAGUUCAUAUACAAACUCAUCAAGAGUAGUACUUGAUCAAUAUAGACUUGUUCAUACAAAAUAUAUACUAGCUAGAAAAUGAACUAGUGACUAUGAAGGGCUAUCAAUUGAAUCAAUGCCUCCAUCAUCAUGAUCAUCAUCAUUGGGAUGCUCCUGGGGUGGGACUGCCGGCUGGCAUACGCCGAAUUUGGUGAAAAGAAACUGCUCACAUUGUUGAAGACGUGCCAUGAUUUGUAUGUUCUCUUCCUUGGCUUUUCGGGCUUCCUCAUUGGCUUUCCGGGCUUCCUCCUUAGCCUUUCAAGCUUCCUCCACAGCAAUAUCAACAAGUGCAGCUCGUUGGGAACGUGAAGUGCAGCUCCUAUCGGGCCCUUGACUCAAACCAUAACUGCCUACUAGUCCCAUGACCCAGAUCUCAUUCAUGUUUCUAUGUCUAAAUGCUUUUUCAAACACAAUCGCUUGAGUUUGUUGGUCAAAAUGAAGAUCAAUAUCUUCUUCCGGAAUGCCAGGGUAUUCCUUCCUCACAUUGUCACGGAUCUCAUCAAGCUUAUCCAUCAGUUUAGCCUAACAAAAGAAGUAUAUGUUUUACAAAAACAAUUACUAUGGAGAAUAGAGUUUUGAGGGCAGUAAUAUCUAUAUUGCUGAAAGUCAUUAAUCAUAGGCUCUCAUCUAGCAUUAUUAACCCAUCUAUAUAUAUUGAUUACCACCACAUAUUAAUCAACCUCCAUAUAUCAAGGUAUCAAGAAACUUAGUCUGAGAUGCACUAUGAAUGACAUUAACUGCCACAAUUCUUUUUUGAGAAGUCACUAGUAUAUGUUCCUUAUUGUGGUUUUUGCUUAUGACAUGCAUUAUUAUAUAUUACAAGUUACUCAUGCAUUUGGCAGGAAGUAAUGCAAGUUAACUAGUUAAUAUCGUGCAAAAAAAAACUAAUUCACAAUAUUGUUGCUUCCAGAGACCAAGAAGUAAUGCAAAGGCAGGAUGUAAACCACUUACUUCAUUUUCAGCUGCUUUCAAGUUGUGAGCUGAGUCAUACACCUGUGAGUAACUUUUAAUAAAAUAGAGGUGUUCACCCUUGUCCUUCAAUUCCUUCGCAUUGUAGAUGAAAGGCCUCGCCCCGGUGUAGUGGUACAAUGUCUUCUUGUCCCGGUUACUCUUGUUUGCAGCCGAUCUUCUCUGUAAUUUCAUCAUAUUAACAAUUUGGUUAUUAACAUCAAGCUUAAUCAUCAAAAACCAUAAACACAAAACUGACCAAAUGAACAGUAGUAAUGCAAAACCCAGAUAUAUACUUGUACCCAGAGAAACUGUUGUAGUAAUGCAAGUAAUAUAUAUAUACUUGUACCUAGAGAAACUACUGUAGUAAUCAGUGGAAUAUAUAUACUUGUACCUAGAGAAAAUGCAAGCAAUAUACUUGUACCUUAAUCUACCUUGUACAGCAAAGAAAAAACUAAAGCCUUAUUUAUUUUCUGCUGGAUACAAAGUUAACCAAUUGAACUAAUCAUUCGAAGGAGCCAGAGAAUGGGGAGUAACAAUUGCAGCUGAUCAAUGGAUUGCCUUGUCAUCAGUUAAAAAAAUCUACCAACUUUUUGUGUAACACAAAAUGUCUCAAACUUUAAAUAGAUCAAUACUUUUGGUAGUCCAAAAUCCAGUAUACUUCUUCUCUACUCACAAGUUUGUGUUUGCUAAUAGAAUGAUGGGGCUAUUUCCGCAUUGCUUAAAAAAACCAAAUUCUAAACCACUUUGGUAAUUCAACAUGGAAGGAUUCCAUAAGGGAUUCCAAGAUUUCAAGUCCAUGGGAUAGAGGCGAAAUGGAUGACGUUAAUAUGAAAUAACAAGCACAAUAUAUGGAUGCAAUAGAGGUUCAAUAUCCUACACAGAUUCAAAACAAGGGUAUCUGAGGACUAAUUAAUCAAGAACUCAAGAAAAAGACAUGCAAAAGCCAAGAAACUGGUUUUCCAAAAAUCAAAUGGUCAGAAACAAGGCAGAACAACAAAGGUAAAACAACCUUGGCACCAACUAGCAAUAGCCAGCUACACAUAACACUGAAUACAAUAAGGGAGAAACUAAUCCUUUUGAUUAAACCAACAAAGUUUUGAAUAAACCAACAAACUUUCAGUAGCAACAGUUAGUUAUAAAAUGAAAGUAAUAUACUAUGAAUCCAUCAGACUCGAAGGGUUUGAGGAGCCAGUUCCACUCAUCCAGCCUGUCACACCCCGGUUCUUAAGUUAUUUUACGGUUAUCUUUGGUAUUAUUUUGGUCUUUUACUGUUUACUAUUUUAAGACUCCAAAAGUUGACUUUUUCUUCCAUUUGGACUUUAGGAAAAAUUCCUUCAUGAAAGUCGUAGAGGACAUUAAUACGAGUUCGUAGCAUGCUAUGCGUUAAAUUCGAUGUUUGCAUGACAAAGUUAUCAAUUAAAAGGGUAAACAUUAGUUGGUAAGGGGUAAAUUUUUAUUGGGUUUUAUUUUGUGGGUGUUUUAAGUGUUGGACCGGGUGUGGAGAAGCCCAACACCCACAUUCUCUUUCUCUCUCUCUUCACUCUCUCUCCCGAGCCUUCCCCGAGCUCUCGCUCCCGCCGAAAACUUUCCCAGCGUCGUCCGCGGCCGUCCGGCCACCAUAGACCGCCGCACCGGUCCCAAACGGUCGGCCGUCGACCCAGCUCUCUUCUUGGACCGGUGGGAACCGCCCUAGCUCCGCCGUGAGAGAGGAAAAGCUCUCGGAAGCUCCGGUUGCGUGGUGGAGUCCCGACGCAGGAACUCGCUCCUCCGGCCACCAUCUCCAGUGAUUUCAGUCCCAUUUGGAAGUGCUCUCCGUGUGUAACAUUUCCAUAGAAGGUAAUGAUCCAAUUCGAAGUGUGUAGGAGGAUUUUCGGGCUAGGGUUUGAAUUGGGGGAUUUUUGGAUGUUUUGAUUUGAUUACCCUAGUUAAGCUUAGAAUUGGACUAAGUGCUAGUUAUGAAAGUUGUUAUGCUUGAUGAGAGGAUUAUUCUGUUAAAUUUUGGGAGGCAAUGGGCACCGCCGGAGGUUUUUUUUCAGGUUUUUGGGUUUGUUAUAAUGAGAGGAGUCUAAUGAAGUAUAGUUUGGAAUUUUUGGAGGAGUUUUGAUAAGGUUUGGGAUUUUUAAAAGAUUAAGGAUUUUGCCGGUUAUUAGAAUGAAAAUCCGGCCUUGGAUUUCCUUGAUAUUUAUUAUUGGAAAAUGGGAAAGUAAUUAAGUUUGGUUAGUUAUGUUGCGAUCAGUUACUUGAUUAUUUUUCGUCCACUCACUCUAACGUUUUUAAAUUACUUUCCCUUGGGCCCUUUGGUUUUAAAUUCCCAGUUUGUAGGCUAAGUCUAAGUGAGGUCGAGCGUACAUGGAGUCGAGGCAUAGUCAGAGGCUGCUUCCGCUUAUUCUUUAUUCUUUGUUUUUCUUUCAUUAUAGAUGUGCUCUGAUAACUAUUUGAGAUAGUUGUUAGUUGAUUAAGGUUUGUUGUAUUUUUGGGAGAUGUGUGGAACUUGAGGAGCAGGAAGGCUCCAGGUUGAGGCUGGUUUAUUUGUUUAUAGAAGUGUAAAUUGGAUUUUUCAGGUAAGGGUUGUCCAUUUUCAAGGUAGAUUAUGCCGAAUUUUUGGAAAAUUUUCCUUGGAAGUGAACCCCGCAAGAUUUACCUCGGGUUUCAGGGUAAAUUUUCCAAGGUAGAUUAUGCCGAAUUUUCGUUAAAAUGCUCAAUGAAAUAACCAAUCCAAAUAAUCAACAUAUUUCAAACCUCAAAUCCUUGAAUCAUUAUAAUUAAUAUAACUUAAAAUACCAAAUCUUUUACCCAAGCUCAAAUUCAUAACUUCCUCAAUGAAUUCAUAAUCAAUGGGUCAAUCACACAUAAAUCCCAUAACCAAUUCAAAAGCCGUAAUUAUAAUUUAAGCUUGGAAAAAUGUAUAAUGAACAACUUAAAAAUCAUGCAUGCAUAUUAGUUAAUAACCAAAAUGUCCACUCACAGAAAAACCCGCUACGUCGGUCCGCGGUCAAAACCCUUCUCACGUGGGGUCUCCUCUCAUCCUGUACAAAAUGAGAUUUAAGACCCGAGACAACAAUCACAAAAUUAAUCAAUUAUAAGGAAAAGCUAUCCUAGCACUAAUCUCACUCACCCAAACUUUCCAAAAUCUACUUAUAGCUCUACUUUAUCAACAACUUCCUACAAUACGACGAGGAAUGGACCAAACGAAUGAGCCUCCUCAAUUUCUCCCCUACCAAAACUAAUUCCAACACCAUAUCCCAAAUUUCAAGCAACCAUCUCCAAAAAUCCCCUACACUAAAUCAACAUUAGUCCCUUCUAAAAAUCAUCACCAUGUAAGGCAGCAGCCACCAGCAGUGGCGGUCAACCACCACCACCAUAUCAACUUCAACCAAAACUAGUAAAGCAUAUACCAAUCUCUUCUUCUCAACAAACACAACAACAAUCAAAACUAGCACGAACUCUAGAAAUCAAAGACUUGGCCGAAAAUUACCUCUAAAGCACAACAACACCAAAAAUUCCGAUUUGCCUUCUACUCCGAAUCAUUCUACCACUUUUGGGUGGUUGAAUGGCCAAUCAAUGAGCUAUAAAACCCCUCAAAGAUCACUUGAAUCGGUGGCCGAAAAAAUGGAGUUCUGGCUAGGGCAAGACUCACGACGGCAGCAGCGUCACCGCGCCUCAACACCGCCGAUUCUGGGCCGGUCACCACCCUAGGCUGGACGAGCGGCGUCUCAACUAUCAAACGUGACCCGCGAGGCAGCCAGGCGUGAUCGGACGACGGCGAUCGGUAGGGGAGAGGUUGGACUGGUCUGGGUCGGGGUCGGGGUCGGGGAGAGAGAAGGUGAGGUGCGGUUAUUUCUGUUUUCUAUCUUAACCCAAAAAAAUAACAAGUUUCCCCCCACUUAUACCCCAGCCCAAAAAUGGUAAUUAUCAUUAUUUUAGCUACCCUUCACUUACAAACUCCAGUUCGGGUAACUAAAAGUCUACACGUUUGUCUACACCACCUCUACCGAAAAUAAAAAUAAAUUCCUGAGUUGACAAGCUACAGUUAAAUCGAAAACCACAAUAUAAAAAUAAUUACUAGGUUCGGGGUGUAUCACCACUUGUACCACUACUGCAAACCCACCUCUCGACAUGCAAACCCGACUUCUCCUCUAGCUCAGCAAUUCUGUCACUCAGUUAGCUACACGAAUCGAAGGCGUUGAGAGUCGCGGGAGCCAGCGACCUCUAUUCUCGGGGUAUGGACAUCGCCCAAGUCCCUUCACGGCACGGGUGCAAAUGGAAAAGAGGCCACCCAAGGCCAAGCCUUUCAAAGUGGACAAAUAUAAGGGGACUGGGGACCCUCAUCUCCAUCUCGAAACAUUCCUUUCGUUGUGUAGUUCCACUCGAUACACAGAUGCCAUGGUUUGUCAUGCCUUCUAAGAAACCCUCUCAAAUGAAGCACUCAGUUGGUUCCUCAACCUGCCACACAACUCCAUUGAUAAUUUUAUGAAAAUCUACCGAAAUUUGUAUUCAUGCAUCACUGGUGUCUCCCUUCUUUCUAUUUUCAUAAUGUAUUACAUGCUAUUCAUAUAUUGUAAGUUUGCAUACAUCUAUAUAUAUAAGCGAAGAGUGUUUUUCACUGUUCACGUGAACAGUGACGUGACCCUUUUGUCUUUCCUUUUUAAAUCUUUUUACACCUCUGCCAUUCAGUUCUUAGGUUUUUUUUUUUUUUUUUUNNNNNNNNNNNNNNNNNNNNUUACAAUCCACCCCCCUUCGGGAGUCCGACGCCCUCGUCGGCACACUCGCACCACACGGCAGAGUGGCUCUGAUACCAUUUGUCACACCCCAGGACCCAUUCCGCCGUAACACGAUAUUGUCCGCUUUGGGCCCACCGGCCCUCACGGUUUUGUUUCCGGCAGCUCAGGAGCAGCUUCCUAGUAGGUCACCCAUCUUGGGAUUGCUCUAGCAUCAACAUGCUUAACCUCGGAGUACCCAUCCCCUCCGAAGCCGCUGAGCCACCAAAAGGCCUCGUGUUAGAUUGGAGGUGGGCAUGUAUAUAUACAGCACAUAACCCCUCUCCGUUUGGCCGAUGUGGGAUAUUACAAUAAAAAAUUUGGACCAUUUCUAGAUUUAUGCGUGUCAUCCUUGCGCAGGGGCCAUGCUAAUCUUCUCUAUAUCGUUCCAAUUUUAUCGGAUGUCCACGUAACACGAUAUUGUCCGCUUUGGGCCCACCGGCCCCCACGGUUUUGUUUCCGGCAGCUCAGGAGCAGCUUCCCAGUAGGUCACCCAUCCUGGGAUUGCUCUAGCAUCAUCAUGCUUAACCUCAGAGUACCCAUCCCCUCCGAAGCCGCUGAGCCACCAAAAGGCCUCGUGUUAGAUUGAAGUUGGGCAUGUACAUAUACAGCACAUAACCCCUCUCUGUUUGGCCGAUAUGGGAUAUUACAGUUUAAUUCAUAUAAGGGGUAUGGACACAUAUUUAUACACCCGUCUGUCCACCUUGAUGGCGUAGUGUAGCACCGCAUUAAGGCGUGACGUGAGCGUUGGACGCGAGCGUAGUAGCCCUAUAUAGACCCAUGAAUUUAUAUAGGGAGUAUGGACGAGUGUAAAUACAUACAUAUAUUAUAGAGUCUGAGAGGCUCGAUAUUUUAUGAGAUAAAAGUUUUAUCGCUUGCGGCAUGCAUUCGAUUUUUCCUUAGAAAUUAAUUUGGGGAAACAUAAAUAUUUUAUUUAUUAUUUUAUUUUUUGUCCACUCACUCUAACGUUAUUAAAUGUUUUCCCCUGGGCCCUUCGUUUUAAAUUGCCCAGUCUGCAGAGUUCGGGUUGGAUCUAGUAGGAGGGGAGGCAUAGUCACCCGCAUUUCUGCCAGUUUUCGUUAGUAGGUUACUUGUUCAACCUACUCGUGUUUUCUUGCUUCCGCUAGUGUUUAGUAGCUCUGAAUACUUUGGGAUUAUUGUAUAUUAUGUGUAGAAUUUCUGAAGGAUAAUUAUGUGAUGUUUGGAAGUGCUAAAUUAAGAGUGUAAUUUGGAAUUUUCGAGUUAGGGUUGUCUAUCUGCAAGGGAGAUUUUCUUAAUCUUUUCAGUAAAUUUUCCUUGGAGGUGGUCCUCGCACGACUUACUCCGGGUUUUAGGGUGAAAUUUGGGGUGGGUCGUGUCAUUGACUAUGCCUUUUCUCCAUGUACGCCCGACCUCAACUAUACUAACCUGCAUACUAGGCAUUUUUGAAACGAAGGGCCCAAGGGAAAACAUUUGAAAUUGUUAGAGUGAGUGGACAAAAAUGAAUUUAAUGAAAAAUGUCACGCCCCGGUUCUUAAGUUAUUUUACGGUUAUUUACUUUAGUAUUAUUUUGGUCUUUUACCGUGUUAAGUAACCGGUUACCCCUUAAGGACCCUAAAGUUGACUUUCUUUUCCGUUUGGAUUUUGGGGAAACUUUCUUCAUGAAAGUUGUAGAGGACGUUAAUACGAGUUCGUAGACAUGCUAUGUGUUAAAAUCGGAGUUAGCAUGAAAAAGUUAUUAUUAAAAGAGUAAAUUUUGAGUUAGAAAAGGGGCGUAAUUAUUAAUGGGUAUUAUUUUUUGGUCGGGUUUAUAGCUGGGCCGGCUGUGGAGAAGCCCAAAACCCUCACCCCUCAUUUCCUCUCUCUCCCUCUCUCCCUCACCCGUCACUUUCUCUCCCUCCCUCACCCGUGCAACUUGACCGCCGGAGAAGAGCCUCUGUCCGCUGCCGUCCGGCCGCCAGGGACCGCCGGACCACCUCUACCUGGACCCCCCGCCACCUCCUCUCCCUCCCCGGCCUAGCCCCCGAGCCGUUAGCCCGCUGGAAGAGGAGAAAACCCGCCGGAGACGCCGGGAAGCUUUUCGUCGGAAAUCCCACCUUCGGCCGCCAUAAGUCGAAAUCUUUAACUCAUCUUGUAGCCCUCAUCAAGGUGAGUAAUCCCUCAAAAGGAAUUAGUCUAUCUCGUUGUGGUUAUAGAGAAAUGUAUAAUUGAAGUUUUAGGGAUUUAUGGAUGUUUUGGUUCGAUUGCCCUAGUUAGCCUUAGAAAUGGACUAAGUGCUAGUUAUGAAUGUUGUUGAGCAUGAUGAGAGGAAUAUUCUGUGAAAAUUUGAGAAGUAUUGGAGGUCUCCGGAAAACGGCUGCCGGCCGCCGCCACCGGCAGGGCAGCUGCCGCCGCCGCCCCUUAAGGGCAGUUUUUCCUGUUUUUGAGAUGGUUUUAAUAAGAGGAGUUUAUUGAAAUAUAGUUUGGAAUUUUUGGAUGAGUUUUGGUUUGGUUUGGAAUUUUUCGGAGAUUGGAGAAAAGGCCGGUUAUUAGAAUGAAAAUCCGGCCGUUGGAUUUCCUUGGUAUUUAUUAUAGAAUGUUAGAAUUGAUGAAUUAAGGUUGUGGUGGAGUUUGGUGUGAAUCCGGCAAGUUUAACCCUAUUAAGAGUAGAGGGUUAAACGGAGGAGAGUUAGAUAUUUUAAUUCACGUAUUUAUUUUCUAGAAUUGAAGUUUGGUUCUAAGCAUGGUUGUUGUACCAGGAUGCGAAGGGAACCUCGCUUGAGUGGCGUUGCGGUUAUCGUCGGGCUUAUGCCCAAAUUUCUGAGUGGACAUUUUGGUUUUAAAAAUAAAUAUGCAUGCAAGAUUUUAUAAUCUAUCAUUUUAUUUUCCGAGCAUAUAAUAUAAUUUUUCAGUUCAUGAGAUGAGCUUGAAAAUUAUUUGAGUUUGGUGCAUUUAUUAAGUGUUGGUCAUGAUUUAUGGAGUUGAGCUCGGAUUAUUAUUUUGAUAUUUGAGUUUGGAUAUUUUUAUAAAUUCCGGAUUUCAUUAAAUGGUUUUAAUGGUGGAUUUUGAGAUUUAUAUAAGAUUUCCGAAAAUGGGAUUUUCGGUAGUUUCCUAUUUUUAAUUCUCGAAAUUAUUGGUGGAAUAUCGAUCUUGACUUUGAGUUUUAUAAAUGAUUACCGAAAAUGGGAUUGUCGGUAGUUCUCCUCAUAAUUUAAUUGUUCAUUUGAGGCAUAAUGAUUUUGACUUGGAGAAUAUUUUAGCGAGUAUUUCGGGCGUAGAUACUAUUAUUUAUGAUUCAUAUUUGUUAUUGAAAUCUCGCUUAUAUUUAUAAAUUGGAGAAUAUUUUGACGUGUGAGACACGUCAUUGAGUUGUGUUAUGAUUUCUUCUGAUGAUUUUCAUGUACGGUUGGGAACCGUACCAUUCGUUUGGUCUUGGGGGAAGUUUAAUGGAUUUAAGUGACUUCGUAUGUUUUAGUCACCAUAUUAUAGGGUCGUUUAUCUUAAUUAUUGCUAGCUAAUCUUAUUGGCGGUCCUCAUCAUAUGUGAGUCGCUAUUAUAGCCUUAUUAGCGGUCUUCUUCAUAUGUGAGUAGAGCGCUUAGCAUGGGACGCUAUUAUAGCUUGGGAGGCAACCGAUCGGUAUUUAUAUUUAUUAGUUAGCUAGCCUUAUUAGCGGUCCUCAUCAUAUGUGAGUUGAGCACUUAGCGUGGGACGCUAUUAUAGCCUUAUUUAGUGGUCCUCAUCAUAUGUGAGUUGAGCGUUUAGUGUGGGACGCUAUUAUAGCCUAGGAGGCAUCGACCUGAGCCUGGGAGGCUCCUUUUUCAUGGUGAUAACUCUUCCCCUAUUUUAUUCUUCUCAAUAAUAUAUUUGAUUAACCAGCGGGGCUGGUUUAUCUCCUCUUAUGAGAUUUAUGUUUUAACUAACCAGCGGGGCUGGUUUGUCCUUUAUUAAGUGAUUUUGGAUUUAAAGUUUUAAGGACGUUUAAGUUGCAUGUUGUUAAGUUUUAAAAGUUGAAAAGUGGGAAAGUAUAUAAGUUUUAUAAUUGUUAAGUUACUGAAUUUAUUUUCGUCCACUCACUCUAACAUUUUUAAAUUAUUUUCCCCUAGGCCAUUUGGUUUAUAAAUGCCCAGUUUGCAGGCUAAGUUAUUUGAGGACGAGCGUACAUGGAGUCGAGGCAUAGUCAGAGGCUGUUUCCGCUUAUUCAUUUUCAUUGUUUUCAUUCAUCAUUAGAUAUGCUCUGAAAGUCCAAUAAUAGCUUAUUAAAUGUCUUUGUUGUUGAUUGUGGAAUUAUUAUUAGAUGAGAAAUUGUUAUUGGGAGUUUUGAUGAACUUGGGGAGCAUGAAGGCUCCAGGAGACGAGGAUGGAUGUUUGUUUAUAGAAGUGUUAAGUUGGAUUUUUCAGGAAAGGGUUGUCCAUUUUCAAGGAAGGUUAUGCCGAAUUUUCGGUAAAUUUUCCUUGAAGGUGGACCCUGCAGGAUUUACCUCGGGUUUCAGGAUGAAAUUCGGGGUGGGUCCUGACAAAAAAUAUUUACGCUUUCCUAGUUUAAAUUUCCAUAGAAAAUAUACUGCAUGCGACAGCUCAAAAGCUCUCAACUCAUCAAUUGGCAAUUACAUGACUAGCUCCGGCUAGUCUCCAAACUUAAUAAAAUAAAGCCUCUCAGGCUAAAAUAAUAUAUAUAUAUAUAUAUAUAUGUAUUUACACUCGUCAUACUCUUUGUACGAAUUCCAUGAAGGAAUAAGAAAAAUAGAAAUUCAUACAAGGCUACUACGCUUGUGUCUAACAUUCACGUCACACCGUAAUUGGAUUUUACCUCAUUAUGGCGGAAAAGCACGAGUGUAUAUAUACGUGCAUAUUCCCUAUAUAAAUUACUAAAUUUAUAUAGGGCUAUGACGAUUGUGUCUAACGCUCACGUCACACCAUAAUAGAAUUUUACCUCAUUAUGGCGGAAAAGCACGUAUAGCUAGCUAGCAUUUAUUUAUAUGCAUACUAUCCUCAUAAUCAUCCAUAUACAUAUGCACCGAAAAUCUCAUUUUCAGUAACUCUCCAGAAAGAAUGAAAAUUGCCAAUUAUAAAAGACGCAAUAAAUAUAUGACUCCACCGAAAAUCUCAUUUUCGGUAACUUUCCAAAUAGCGAAGUUAACAAAUAAAAUAAGAGCAUUUACUUCCAAAAAUAACUUCGCGAAAAUAAACAAUUCCACAAAUUGAUAUUCAAUAAAAUCACCGCAUGCUUAUAAUUUAAAACGAACGUCCACUCACAACUUUAGGGAUAAGCCCGACGAUAUCCAAUUUGCUACUUAAGUGAGGUCUCCUCGAAUCUUGGCACAAUAACCAUGCUUAGGACCAAACUUCAAUUUCAGAAAAAAUAAUUCUUAAAUAUAUCACCCAAAACUCUUCCGCCUAGUCCACUACCCUUUCUAGGGUUAAGCUUAUUGGAUUGACGCCAAACUCCACCCAAAGCCUCAAUUCAUUCAUUUCAACAUUCUAAAACAAUAAUAAGGGAAAUCCAACGGUCAGAUUCUACCCCAUUAACCGCCAAAUUCACCAAUCUUUCAAAAAUCUCAAACCUAUCCAAAACUCCUCCAAAAAUUCCAAACUUCACAUCAUUAAACUCCCCUUAAUAUUACACAUUUAAAACCAUGAAAAUCCCCCUAGGGUCGUCUGCUCCGUCGGCAGCAGCGGCCGGCGACUGACUCUGGAGACCCCCAAUGCCUACUAAAUUUUAACAGCUUCAUCCUCUCAACACGCUCUACAACUUUCCUAACUAGCACCAAGACCAAUUUCAAGCUUAACUAGGCCAAUCGAACAAAAACUUACAAUAAAACCCUAGAACUUCAAACACUUGAAUCUCCUUACCUAGGCCAAGAGGGAGUGAAACCUUUGGAGGGAUGAAUGCACGGGAGAAGAGCUUCCUUUUGAGCUAAGUAGCUUCGGCUAUGGCAGCCGGAGGAGGAAGUUCCGGCGACGGAACACCACGGACAGCCCGAGCUUCCAAGCGCGAUUUCUCUUUCACAGCGGCGCUAGGGAGGCUGCCACCGGUCCAAGAAGGAAGAGGAGAUGAUGGCCGACCGUUUGUGACCGGUACGGUGACCUACGGUGGCCGAACGACAGCGGAUUGACGACGGGAAAAUCCGGUAGGAAAGAGGGAGGGCGUCGGGAGGAAAGAGAGAGAGAAGAGAGAAGAAAAGUGUUAGGCUUUUCCCAACCGGUUUCUACCGAAACCAAAUAUAAACCCAACUCCAAAAUAACACCACCAAAAUAAUACCCUAAUAAAAAUUACCUUUUUACUAGCUAAAAUUUACUAUUUUACCGUCAUCAAAUAUUUCUUCUACGAAUCAUUCCUCCGAAAAAAUCGCUCCUCAAAACCCCUCUAGGGACCUUUGAAACUAUAAACUCAUUUAUGAAGACGGUAAAACUCUUAUUAAUACCAAGCUAGUAAAUAAGGUAAAAAUUUAAGAGUCGGGAUGUGACAUGUCUUGUCCGGACCCGUCCCGGAUUUCACCUUGAAACUCGAAGUAAAUCCUGUGGAGUCCACCUCUGAGGAAAAUUUACCGAAAAUUCGGCAUAACCUCCCUUAAAAAUAGACAACCCUUCCUAAAUAAAAACACCUGCAAACACUUCUAAAAGUUCCAACUCCAACCUUAUAACUCCUGGAGCCUUCGUGCUCCCCAAAACACAACAUCUCCCAAUUUAUUUACUAACUUUAACACUUAAAAUCUCACAACCAACAAUCACAGUUCAGAGCAACUCUAUUAGAGGAGAAAAGAACUAGAAAUAUAGAAAUGAGCAGAAGCUAUACUAUUAACUAUGCCUCUUCUCCAUGUACGCUGGACCUCAAUUAUGCUAACCUGCAUACUGGGCAUUUUUAAAAUAAAGGCCCAGGGGAAAACAUUUGCAAACGUUACAGUGAGUGGACAAAAAUGAAUUCAAUAAAAAUUAUUUAUGCAUUCCCAAUUUAAUUUUCAUAGAAAAUAUGCUGCAUGCGACAGCUCAAAGCUUUCUACUCACAAACUGGCAAAUACAUGACUAGCUCCGGCCAGUCUCCAAAACUCAAUAAAAUGGAGCCUCUCAGGCUAAACUAUAUAUAAAUAUAUAUGUGUAUGUAUUUACACUCGUCAGACUCCUUGUACGAAUUCUAUGAAUAAAAUAGAAAAAUAGAAAUUCAUACAAGGCUACUACGCUUGGGUCUAACGAUCACGUCACACCAUAACGGAAUUUUACCUCAUUAUGGCGGAAAAGCACGAGUGUUUAUACGUGUAGACUCCCUAUAUGAAAACCUAUAUGAAUCGGAUAAGAAAGUAGUUUUCAUAUAGGGCUAUGAUGCUUGUGUCCAACACUCACGUCACGCCGUAAUAGAAUUUUACCUCAUUAUGAUGGACCAAGCACGUAUGGCUAGCUAGCAUUUAUAUACAUACUAUACUCAUAAACAUCCAAUAUACAUAUCCACCGAAAAUCUCAUUUUCGGUAACUCUCCAAAAGAUGAAAAUUGCCAAAUAUCAAAAAAAGCAAUAAAUUUCAGCAGAAGAAUAACUGAUCAACAAUAGAAUGCAUCGCAUGCUUUUAAUUAAAACAAAAGUUCACUCACAGUGAUUCUGUUGCAUUUGCUGUCAAGACAAGACAACGAAGACGAGCUCGGAAAAUCCUCCUAUUCUUUUUCGAUUUAACCCCCUUCUUUCACUUCUAAGAAUGCACAGUAAAGUCCCUAAUAAAAACUAAAGGGUAAGAGAACAAUAUAACCAACUCCCCUUCAUAACCAUUGAAACCAAUUCUCUUAUAUCCUUUUAAUUAAACAAACACACACAUGACUCCCAAAACAAUAAUACCCUUAACUACCAUUUAACUUAGGAGAUUCACCUCUCGGUCAAAAUGGCAAAUGCACCCAAAAUACUCUUUGCAUUCAGAAGUUUUCAUUGUGCACCCAAACCUUUCCUCUAGUCCAAGCCUACAUGCAACCCCACAAUUCCAUAAUUAUAUUCAAAACUCACAACACAAUUCCGAAUUCAAUAGCCGAGAAUUAAAACCUUCUCACCUUGCGGUUUCAAAAGAUUAACACACGGUGCUCCUCCAAUUACUCUUUGCACCCAAAGUGGAAAUUAGCAUCCAACACCAAUCUUCAUUUGCUACACUGCCCUCCACCAAAACUAAACCCAAUAAUAACAUUAACUCCAUCUCCCUAUCCAACACCAAUCUUUCUAACUGUUAAUUUGCUGCCACCUAUUAAUGUAAAAACACUUGAAGUUUAUCUUCCAGUGCCAGUAGUUGUUUUUAAACUUGAUGCCCAAGUUUAAGCUGCUCACUCGGCAGCUAUUUGCAACCCACAAGUCUGAUUGAGGUUUUCAGACUUUCACUUGUGAUUGGCUGCAUGUAGUCAUGUGUUAGGCAUAAGCUAGCAAGUAGGUGAACCAGCAUUUCAAAUAAGACAAAGCAGCAAUCCAAAUUAUUGUUAUUAUUAUUAUUAUUAUUUUUUUUUUAAGUUUGGGGUUUCACAGAACGUCACGGGGUUAAGACUUAACAUGGAUCUCCUGGAAGAGCGCCGCGACAGGGUACACCUCAGGAAUGUCAACUACAAACAAAAGAUUGCUCAACACUACACCAAGAAAGUUGUUCCCCGCCCCCUAAAGGUAGGCGAUUGGGUUAUGAAGGAAGUCAUUCCCCACCCCACUGGACUCAAAUCAAAGUGGGAAGGCCCUCUCGAGAUAGUCAAUGCCUCAGGACCAGCUACAUUCUAUCUCCGGGACACUGAUGGCUGAGUACUACCCCGCACCUGGAACGCUCUCCACCUCCACCUCUACCCCAUUUAAAUUAACAGACCCGGCAUAGUAGCUAGUACUUCAUUAUUGUGUACUUCAACCCGUUAGUGGCUCACAUUAAGUGUACACCUUGCCCAUUAGCGGCCUACCCUAAAUGAAGAUGUUAUGUUUUUUAUCAUUUUUAUAACAUACCGUAUCAAGAACACGAAACAACAAAGCAAACAGUAGUCCACAAACAAAAGCAUUCAUUAAAACAAAUAAGAAUCAACAUGGACUCCUAAGCAAUGCAUAAAAAACAAAUUGUUCAGAUGGCUAACAUUGUUUUACAAGCAAACAAAAGAAAGCAAAUAAACCUAACAAUAACAGCAAAUUACAAAGCAUCAUCAUUUCUCCCCAGAGGACGCGCCACUUGACUUAUUCACGCUUCUGCCACUCCUUGAACCGCUACCACACCCACGACUGUGGCUGAUAUUCACCGACACCCUCUGUCCAUAAGCAUGCUUAGAGCGGUCACGUGACGUUGGUGGAGGCCUCACUGAAACAUUAGGGCGCACCAGGGAACUCACUUGUUGCACCUCAGUGAUAGGGGACUUGCUCGCUGAGGUCUUUUGCACUUCAGAACGCGGUGGCGCCACAAGUCUAGGUGCUUGAGGGAUAGUUGGUUCAAUAACAGAGGAUGUGACCUGAGAUACCACCACUUGAGCAGAAGGGGAUCCCUCAGGACGCGAAGCCCUUAGUGGAGAAGCAACGAUCACCGCAAGUGGCUGAGGCGUACCCACAGUAGGAACUUCUUUUGGCACGGCAGAGGAUGUAGCGCGCUAGGCCUCAUGCUGCUUAGCCAGAGAUCAAGAGAUCUCAGCUUGCUUCCUUUGCUCUGAGGUCAUCUGUUCCCAAGCCUUCUUCGCCACAUCCCUCUCGGCAUACCACUUGCGGAUGGCCGCUUCAUUUAUCCAGCCAAUUUGGCACCAGUCUUGCUUAGCUCAUCUUGUCCCCGGUUAUAAGCGCUCCUCAGUUGCUGCUUACACACUUCACUCUCCCGAAACACCCUCUCCCCAGCCCCAGCAGCCCUUGCACACUUCAGCUUCCACACUCUCUCUUACUUCGCCAGGGCUUGCGUUAACCUCGCCACCUCAGCUUCCAGAGACACCGCCUUGGCAAUGGCCACCUCCCCAGCCUCCACCUGCUUGUUUUUCUCCUGCACAGCUUCCUUCAACUCAGCCACCUCCUUCCCAGAUGCAGCAGCCUGAUCUCGGAAGAUAGCAACAUCUUGCUCCAGACGCUGCGAGAGGGCUCGGUUAUUCUCUUCCGCCUCCCUCAACUGCUGGCAUUUAGCCUCGGCAUCCCCCUGCAAGUGAGCAACAACCCUCUCACUUGCAGCAUACAUCAGCAGCGUCGCCUGCAGACAGCACCAAAAUGUAAGCAAAAAGGCAGGGAACUAAAGGACAAAAUGACCAUUGUGCACACUUACCCGAGUUAGUUUCUCCUUGGCAAGAGCUACACAAGCUAGAGGAUCAAUCUCCUCCAUGCAUGGAUGUCACGAGAGCGGUGACACAUGUCAUAUGCCAUCUGAGCUAGGGAAGGCUGCACCUCCCCGGUCCCCUCUAGAGCUUGGGUGAUCUCGGCCAGGCUCCCCAAGCUCUUGGAACGCCCCUCCUUACGGGACUUCUUUGGUUGGCCUUCACGUGACGACUCGACCCUUUCUUUCCUCUUUCGGGUCCUUGUCAUGACAACCUCUUCUUACCCUUGCCCAAUGGGUUCCACCUCCUUCACCACAACAUCCUCGCCACCAGUUUGGGGCUCACCCACAUUACCCAAAGACGUAUCUUCCACUCCUACUGGCUCCGCAUAAGCUCUUCCUCCACCGGAACCUGCUCAUGAUAGUCCCCGUGGUCGCCACCCUCAGUGUCCGUUUCCUCGUCAUUCACCUCUUGAUCACCCAAGCCCAUAUAUUGCUUCUGCCACCAAGGGAGGCAAAUAAGCAUAAUCCUCGUCCGCCAGCUUCAACCUCAAAAAAUCAUCCUCACCCUCAUCCAGCUCCACCUCUUUCCUCUCGCUAGUCUCCAAGUCGAUAUCGUACCGCUUGACAUGAUCAACCUUGGCACGUAACCCAUCCAGUACGUCCUCAUCCGACACCUUGUCAUAAGGACCUUCCUUCUUCCGCGACCCACCGUCCCGAGGCAUUGUCACUACACCAAACAAAAGAUGAGGAUCAAGUAGAGACCAGAAAGCAUAACCGAAAUGACUAUAUAUGCCAAGGCAGCAUAUCCGAUACGAGCUCCUAGACUCGAAUGCCCACAGCACCCGGCGUAUUCGACGCUCCAUCAGCUCGGUUAAUUUAUACUCUUGGGGCAUGACUUGUAUACAAUUCAUGCAAGCGAACGUAUCGUUGUCAAGAUAGGGAAGUAUUUGUGCCCAAGUUAUCGUACCAUGGGGAUUAGUGGCUAACCCACAAUCCUAAGCUAAUCGGAACAAAAGUCACUAAGCAAACAAAGAAAAAGAAAAAAAAUACUACUCUAAAGCACCAAGCCUUAGCAAUGCUCGGCCUCAGUUAUCACCAAAGCCUAAUCAAUACUAAAUGCCUAGUGAUGGGUAAUUACAAUGAGUCGAUAUAUAAAAUGGAGAUUGAAUGGGGAAUUAACUAAAUUGACGAAAAACUAAAUAAAAAUAAACUACUAACUAAUGAACUAGAGAAUGAUGAGAACAUGGGAGUGUCGGGUGAUUCACACUAACUCAUAUGCAAACAUCGAUACCAAUUUCACAAAUGCAUAUCCUAUUGUAUCAAAUCCCGUAUCUAAUACCGGUUAAGGCUACUAGACCAAUUAUCCUUUCGGUGUAUCGAUUAUGCCGGUUAAGGCCACAAUCAACUCUCUAACAUGGGCAUUACAUCGGUUAAGGCCGUAACAUCCAAAUUAGAGGCCUAGAGUGCAAGAUAAUAGAGACCCAAGCAAGCUUAGCUACAAUCAAGCUAGCUAAUGGUUACCACACUUCAAAUCCUAGAUGCACAAGACUAAUAAGUUGUCAAUUUAUCAAUCUAUCCAUCAAAUUGUCCACAACAUAAUCUCAAAGGGUGACAAAACCUAGAAACAUAUUUCUAAGGACCAACACAUUCAGAUUCAAAGCAUACACAAUGUAAAUUGCAUUUAUAUCAAUCAAAGUACCAACAUUAUACAAAAUGAGUUUAGGGCUUCAAUACCCUAACUCCCAAAAUUAAAUCACUCACAACCCAUAGUCAAAUAGAUCAUCAAUAGCAUAUAAGUUAAAUAGCUAUCAUUCUAGCAUUGGUAUGGCGCCCUUUGAGGCUCUUUAUGGGAGGCAGUGUCGUACGCCUUUGUGUUGGAAUGAAGUAGGGGAAAAAGAGCUUUGUGGCCCAGAGUUAAUCCAUGUUACGAAUGAGAAGAUUAAAGUGGUUAGAGAUAGACUCAAGACUGCUCAGAGUAGGCAGAAGAGUUAUGCGGAUGUCCGUAGGAGAGAUCUUGAAUUUCAAGUGGGUGAUUGGGUGUUCCUGAAAUUAUCUCCUUGGAAAGGGGUUGUGCGUUUCGGUAAGCGUGGGAAGCUUAGUCCGAGGUAUAUUGGCCCUUAUGAGAUUAUAGAGCGAGUUGGCUCACUUGCUUAUCGAUUAGCUUUGCCUCCAGAGUUAUCCCGGAUACAUAAUGUGUUUCAUGUAUCCAUGCUUCGCAAAUAUAUUGCCGAUCCUUCUCAUGUGCUGCAAGAGCAGCCGAUCAGUUUAACGAGAGAUUUGACCUAUGAAGAGGAACCGGUUCAGAUUCUCGACCGAAAGGAGCAAGUGCUUAGGAAUAAGACAAUCCCGCUUGUCAAGGUUCUGUGGAGAAGUCAUCAAGUAGAAGAAGCUACUUGGGAAUCAGAGGAGCAAAUGAUGCAGCAGUAUCCGUAUCUCUUCGGAUGACAUGUAUGUUAAUUUCGAGGACGAAAUUUUUAUAAGGAGGGGAGAAUUGUCACAUCCCGACCCUUAUAUUUUUACCUUAUUUACUAGCGUGAUUAUUAUAAGAAUUUUACCGUCCCAGUCAUGGAGUAAAUAGUUUAAUUGGUCCCUAGAGGGGUUUCGGGGACGAUUAUGUGCGGAGGAUAAUUCGUAUGGGGAAAAUACGACGACGGUAAAAAUAGUAAAUUUUAGCUAGUAAAAGGUAAUUUUUAUUCGGGUAUUAUUUUUCGGGGUGUUUUUAUUUUUGGAAGUUUGGGUUAAGUGUUGUGGACUGGGUUGGGGUGAGGCCCAAAACCCUUUUUCUCUUCUCCCUCUCUCCCGAUUUUCUCUCCUCCCACCCGGUUUUCCCCUCUCUACACCCAGAAGAAUUUCCGGCCGUCCUUCCGCCGCCGUCCGACCUCCGUUCGCCGCCGGACCGGUCCCGUUCGGUCGGUCUCCCUCCCAGCAACAUUUCUAGACCGGUGAGAGGAGCCCUAGCUCCGCCGUGAGAGAGCGGUGCCACCCGAAAGCUCCGACUGCCGAAUCGGUUUUCUCGCCGGAACUUCCUCCUCCGGCCACCAAUCCGGGCAAGCUUGGUACGGUUUUGUAGCCCUCCUCCCGUGCAACAACCCCUCCAAACAGCUCCCUCCCUCUUGAGCUAGGUAAGGAGAAAUUUGAGGUGGAAGUUUUAUGGUGUUUAAGUUGUUUUCGUUCGAUUAGCCUAGUUAGGCUUGGAAUUGGGUGAUGUGUUAGUCAUGAAAGUUGUAGAGGAGAUUGAGAGGAAGAUUCUGUUAAAAUUUGGUAGCAUUUGCAGGUUGCCGGAAAACGGCUGCCGGCCGCCGCUGCCGGCGCCGGCGCCGGUUAGGAGAUUUUUAGGGUUUUAAAUGUGGAAUAUUAAGAGGAGUAUAUUGGUGUGAUUUAUGGAAUUUUUGGAUGAGAUUUGGUUAGGUUUGUGAAUUUCCGAAGUUUGGUAUUUUUGGCGGUUAAUUAAUGUAGAAUCCGGCCGUAGGAUUUAAGUCGUAUUUUGGAGAGGUUGUAUUUACGACUGUUGAGUAUGAUAUUUAAGUUCGGAUCGUUCCGAUGUAAGAAUAUCGAAGUUAGGCAAUGAUGAGCGUAAUUAUGGCUCUCGGGUAAUUUUGCCUAUUUUGAUUAAAUAUUGGAUUUUUUUGGUUGGGAAUUAAUAUUAUAUUUGGAACAGGACGUGAGGAGGCUCGAGCAGACGAGACCCCAGAUCGGCAUCAGGCUUAGGCCUAAUUUGUGAGUGGACGUUUAUUUUAAAUAAAUGCGUGCUAAAGUUCACGAUUGAAUAAUUAAUGUCGUGGAGUAUUUUGACGUCAUUUUAAUUUUUGACGAUUUUUAUUUCUCGCGGAGAGAUACCGAAAAUGGGAUUUUCGGUGGAUAUAAAUAUGUAUUUAUGAGAGAGUAUGUAUAUAAAAUGCUAGCUAGCCAUAUGUGUCUGUCCACCUUAAUGGCGUAGCAUGUAGCCGCAUUAUGGUGUGACGUGAGCGUUGGACGUAAGCGUAGUAGCCAUAUUUGAGUGUUUAAUUCAUAUAGGGGGUAUGGACACAUAUUUAUACACCCGUCUGUCCACCUUGAUGGCGUAGUGUAGCACCGCAUUAAGGCGUGACGUGAGCGUUGGACGCGAGCGUAGUAGCCCUAUAUAGACCCAUGAAUUUAUAUAGGGAGUAUGGACGAGUGUAAAUACAUACAUAUAUUAUAGAGUCUAAGAGGCUCGAUAUUUUAUGGGAUAAAAGUUUUAUCGCUUGCGGCAUGCAUUCGAUUUUUCCUUAGAAAUUAAUUUGGGGAAACAUAAAUAUUUUAUUUAUUAUUUUAUUUUUGUCCACUCACUCUAACGUUAUUAAAUGUUUUCCCCUGGGCCCUUCGUUUUAAAUUGCCCAGUCUGCAGAGUUCGGGUUGGAUCUAGUAGGAGACGAGGCAUAGUCACCCGCAUUUCUGCCAGUUUUCGCCAGUAGGUUACCUGUUCAACCUACUCGUGUUUUCUUGCUUCCGCUUGUGUUUAGUAGCUCUGAAUACUUUAGAAUUUUUGUAUAGUAUGCGAUGUUCAGAAGUGAUAAAUUAAGAGUGUAAUUUGAAAUUUUCGAGUUAGGGUUGUCCAUCUGCAAGGGAGAUUUUCUUAAUCUUUUCAGUAAAUUUUCCUUGGAGGUGGUCCCCGCACGACUUACUCUGGGUUUCAGGGUGAAAUUCGGGGUGGGUCGUGUCAUCGGAGCUAUUUUUAAUAAUAUUUGGAAGUUGGUAUUAUCCAGAAAUUUAUUAAAAAUAAUAUUCUAAGUCGGUUUAAUCUCAGCCGUUAGAUUGGGAAUACAUAUACGUUUGGGUUAGAUUGUAAAACAGAAGAACCGAGCUUGGACCGACUCGGUCUCGAGUUGCGAUUCCUCCUCCGUCGAGCGGCUGUCUCUCGACAUCCAACCGGUGGCCAGAGCUCCAUAUCGUCGUCCCCAACAUGACUGUGUUGUUAGAUUUCCAAAACAAGCUCGGAGAAGGGAGAAUCGAGUAGAAGAAGGAUUUCUGGGUUCGCCGGUGAUCUUCGGAUUCCGGCCACGGCGGUGAGCAUGAACGGUGCUGGUAGCUUUGCCUCAACUCCCUGAACAUCGUUGUGCUAUUGGUUUUUGAAUAGAAGCCUUGAGGAGGGAGAAUCGAACCUCAAAAGUUUUUAGGGUUUUCCGGUCGUGUUCUUCAUUUUCCGGCGAGCUUCAAGUAUCAAUUCAGGUAUCAAAGUUGGUCCAUUUGUCGAACUCUACCUGUUUAUAUGCUUGAAUUCGAGUUUGAUUAAGUUUUGGAGAAGUUGGUGUUUGGGCAGACGUCAGCCGCCGUGAGUACUGCUGUGUACGGCGAUGACAGGUGGUGGUUCUUGUAGUUUCUGGUUUUUCAUAGUAUACUGAUUGUGGAGGGAUGCUUUGAUAUGUAUUUGAAUGGCAGGAGAUUGAAAAUUGGAUGAAGUGGGUUUUGGGGCAGUGUUGUUCGGUGGCGAAAAUGAUGGUUGAUAGUUCUGGGUUUGGUUUAUGUUUUGGAUGAAAUUGCAGGACAUGAUGUUGGUGUUGUAUAUGCUUGAAGUCUAGAAAUGGAAGAGUUGGGAAGUAGAGGAUUCAAGUCGAAUUGUGUUGUUGGAAUGAAGAACAGUAGUGUUCUUCUAUUCAUUGAAGUGCUUGAAUUCAAGAGUUUGAAAGUUGAUAUCGGCAAAAUAGAACAUGGGUGUCCAUAGUAGAUUUGGAGUCAAGUUGGUACUUGGAGCGCAAUUUGGAUAUGAUGACGGCAUUGAGCGUAAAGGCGAAUAAGAAUGUGGAAAUAAAUUGAAAUGAGUACAUUUGAUUCGGAAAUCAUUGGAAAAGAAAAAGGAUUCGGUACGAGGAUCGAAUGCGAGUAGCUGGAUUGCAGAAGGAUAAGGAUUUCUGAAUGUGUGUUGCAAAGUUACUAAUUUUAGCUAGUGUCAGAAGUAGCACUUGGAUUCCAGGUAGGGUCUCUCUCGGGGAACUUUUCUUUAAAUCGGUAAUUAGAUUUUAAUUGAAAUGGGUGAUUUGUGUGUCAUUGAGUGAUUAACUCUUGGUUGUUACCAUUUUCGAUAAAAGUAUGUGAUAUCGUUGAAAUAUAUGAACGAUGUUUUCGCUUAUCAGAAAAGAAUGUAUUGAAUGUUAUGAUAUGAGUAUUGAUAUUUGUUGCAUACAUUUUGCAUUGUGAGAAAUUGUGAGAUUAGUGAGAAUGGUGAUUAUGGAGAUGUGAAUGAGAUUUGAUAGAAUGGAUACAUUUUGUGUAGUUGAGUUUCCUGAUGGGUUGUCCAAGAUCCAAGGUAGCCCACACGUGCACAAAUUCAGGGAAUGUAUGCCUUUCGAUGGCAGACAUCGACAAAACGAUCUUAUCGGGUUUCGGGUUUGGAGGCCAUGAGUAUAACAAGAUGACUAACAAAAGAGGUACAAGCGGUGAGAUAUUACUGAUUGUUAGAUCAUAUAUUCGAGACAUCUGAGUCACCCCCGGUUGGUAAAAUACACGGUAUGGGACGUGUAGGCUCACAUGUCUUUGAUGUAUGGACUGAAUGCCAGUAAUCGAGGAAGUCAUUCAUUAGCAUAAAUGCAUCAAAUUUUCGUUAUAUAUUUAAAGUAUUGUUUGAUUGUUUGAUAACUUGUUUGUGCGAAGUAGUUAAGAAUAACUUAAGAAGGUUAGGCCCUACUGAGCGUAAGCUCACCCCUAUAGAGUUUUUGUUCAGGUUUGUACGAGGACACAUGUUUCUAGAAGACUAACUGUGACGUUAGCUUAAGUGUACAAGAGACGAGAAGUACUGAAGAUUAGAAGCCUCAAGACCUAUUUUGUUUUUGUAAUUGGUUUUGUUAUUUGUAAACGUUUUAUUUUCUUUUAUUUCUGGAAAAGUAGUUGAAAUUUGUAUUAUUUUUUUUACUUUUCCCGCUCACGCCUCGGGUUCGGCGUCAGGUGCUUGGAAACCACUGACACCGGGUUCGGGGUGUGACACCACACGUAUAUACACCCAUCCUCUUCGGUCAUAAUGAGGAAAAAUUUGAUUAUGGCGUGACGUGAGCGUUAGAUGCAAGACUCGUAGCCUUGUAUGAAUUUCUAUUCUUCUACUUUGUUCAUAGAAUUCAUACAAGGAGUCUGACGAGUAUAAAUACAUACAUAUAUAUAUAUAUAUAUAUAUUUAUGUAUAGUUUAGCCUGAGAGGCUCCAUUUUAUUGAGUUUUGGAGACUGGCCGGAGGUAGUCAUGUAUUUGCCAGUUUGUAAGUAAAAAGCUUUGAGCUGUUGCAUGCAGCAUAAUUUCUAUGAAAAUUAAAUUGGGAAUGCAUAAAUAUUUUUAUUGAAUUCAUUUUUGUCUACUCACUUUAACGUUUGCAAAUGUUUUCCCCUGGGCCUUUAUUUUAAAAUGCCCAGUAUGCAGGUUAGCAUAGUUGAGGUCGAGCGUACAUGGAGAAGAGGCAUAAUCAAUAGUAUAGCUUUCGCUUAUUUUUAUAUUUCUAGUUCCUUUCCUCUCAAUUAGAGUUGCUCUGAACUGUGAUUGUUGGUUGUGGGAUUAUUCUUAUUAAAGUUAGUAAAUAAAUUGGGAGAUGUUGUGUCACACCCCGGUUCUUAAGUUAUUUUACGGUUAUUUACUUUGGUAUUAUUUUAGUCUUUUACCGUGUUGAAUAACCGUUUAUUACCUAAGGACCCUAAAGUUGACUUUCUUUUCCGUUUAGAAUUUGGAGAAACUUUCUUCAUGAAAGUUGUAGAGGACGUUAAUAUGAGUUCGUAGACAUGCUAAGUGUUAAAAUCGGAGUUAGCAUGAAAAAGUUAUUAUCUAAAAGAGUAAAUUUUUGAGGUGGUAAAAGAAGGUAUUUUUUUAGUGGGUAAAAUUUAUUGGGUUUAAGGGUUAUGGAUUGGCUGUGAGCAGCCCAUAUCCUCCUUCACUCUCUCUCUUUCUCCCUUCCCUCUUUUCCCCGAGCUCCCCGAGCCCCUCUCCGCCGGAAGCUCCCAGCCACCAGCUGCCAUCGUCCGGCCAGCGUUCGGCUGCUGCUCCAGCCCAGUUCGGACCCCCAUCUCCUCCUCUCCCUCCCCGGCCUAGCCCCCGAGCCUCUAACCCGCCGGAAGAGGAGAAAACCCGCCGGAGACGCCGGGAAGCAUUUCGCCGAAAAUCCCAUUUCCGGCCACCAAAACUUGCAAUUCUUAGCUCAUUUUGUAGCUCUCAUCAAGGUGAGUAUCCCCUCAAAAGGAAUAAAUCUUUCUCGUUGUGGUUACGGAGAAAUGUAUAAUUGAAGUUUUAGGGAUUUUUGAUGUUUUUAGUCGAUUACCCUAGUUAGCCUGAGAAUUGGACUAAGUGCUAGUUAGGAAAGUUGUUGUGCUUGAUAAGAGGAUUAUUCUGUUAAACUUUGGUAGAAAUUGGAGGUCGCCGGAAUCGGCCUCCGGCCGUCGCUGCCGGCCGAGCCGGCGCCGGCGCAGGAGCUGUUUGGGAGAUUUUAAUGUUUUUAGAUUUGGAAUAUUAAGGGGAGUUUAUUGAAGUGAGUUAUGGAAGUUUUGGAUAGGUUUGUGAAUUUCCGAAGUUUGGUAAUUUUGGCAGUUAAUUAAUAUAGAAUCCGGCCGUAGGAUUUAAGUCGUAUUUUGUGGGAAGUUGUUUUUACGGCUGCCGGUAUGUUCGGUGAAGUUUGAACCGUAUUGAGUUAAGAAUGGCGAAUUUGGGCAAUGAUGAGUGUGUGGGAGGCUCACGUUUAAUUUUGCCCAUUUUGUUCAAUUAUUGGAUUUUUGGUGGGAAAUUAAUUAUAUAUUUGGAACAGGACGAGAGGAGGCCCGAGCAGAGGAAGCCUCGGAGCGUCAUCAGGCUUAGGCCUAAGUUGUGAGUGGACCUUUAUUUUAAUUGAAAAGCAUGCGAUGAAUUAUCUGUUGAUCAUUUAUGUCUUUUCCUGAGAUUUAUUUAUUUCUCGGAUAUUUGGCAAUUUUCCUCCUUUGGAGAGAUCCCGAAAAUGAGAUUUUCGGUGGAUAUGUUUAUUGGAUGUUUAUGAUGAUAGUAUGUAUAUAUAAAUGCUAGCUAGCCAUACGUGUUUGAUCCGCCAUAAUGAGGUAAAAUACCAUUAUGGUGUGACGUGAGUGUUAGACACAAGCGUAGUAGCCCUAUAUGAAAAAUAUUUUCUUAUUUGGUUUAUUUAAGUUUUCAUAUAGGGAGUCCACACGUAUAUACACUCGUGCUUUUUCCGCCACACUGAGGUACAAUUCUAUUAUGGUGUGACGUGAGCCUUAGACGCAAGCGUAGUAGCCUUGUAUGAAUUUCUAUUUUUCUAAUUUGUUCUUAGAAUUCAUACAAGGAGUCUGACGAGUGUAAAUACAUACACUUAUAUAUGUUUAUAUAUACUUUAGCCUGAGAGGCUGUAUUUUAUUAAGUUUUGGAGACUAGCCGGUGCUGGUCGUGAAGUUGUCAGUUUUUGAGUUGAGCGCUUUUGAGUGAUUGCAUGCAGUAUUAUUUUAUUUGGAAAUUAAAUUGGGGAAGCAUAAAGAAAUACUUUUAUUUUAAUUUAUUUUUGUCUACUCACUCUAACUGUUCCACAUGUUUUCCCCUGGGCUCUUCGUUUUAAAUUGCCCAGUCUGCAGAGUUCGGGUUGGAUCUAGUAGGAGGCGAGGCAUAGUCACCCGCAUUUCCGCCCGUUUUCAUCAGUAGGUUACAUGUUUAACCUACUCGUGUUUUCUUGCUUCUGCUAGUGUCUAGUAGCUCUGAAUACUUUGGGAUUAUUGUAUUUUAUGUUUAGAAUUUCUGAAGGUUAAUUAUGUGAUGUUUGGACGUGUUGUAUUAAUAGUGUAUUUUGGAAUUUUCGAGUUAGGGUUGUCCAUUUUCAAGGGAGAUUUUAUCAAUCUUUUCAGUAAAUUUUCCUUGGAGGUGGUCCCCGCACGACUUACUCCGGGUUUCAGGGUGAAAUUCGGGGUGGGUCGUGUCAUGUUGUGAUGUGGGCAGCACGAAGGCUCUAGGAGUAGAAGGUUGUAGAUGGAUUUUUUUGAAGUGUAUGCAUGUAUUAUUAGGAAGGGUUGUCUAUUUUCAAGGGAGGUUAUACCGAAUUUUUUCGGUAAUAUUUUUUUUGGAGGUGGUCCCCGCAGGAUUUACUUCAGGUUUCAGGGUGAAAUUCAGGGUGGGUCUUGACACAGAAGCUGAAGAUACUAGGAGCUGAAAAUACUUACCUGUCUUCCGUACCGUCUCUCCCAAACAGGGCCAAACAAACUAGAUGGCAAAUCCACAACCCAACCUCUGCCGCUCAGAUUGGGCCUGACACGAAGUACGUUCUCGCCCAUCCAACGACACCGCCUCAAGGAUGUGUCGUCGAACUGGGCAUGCACUAUGAACAAGGGGCUGCUAGAUAGGGUUUUGAAGAGAAAAGUCUCUUUGUUUUAUCAAUUCUUGUUAAAAUUUGUAGCCCUGAUUUGAUGUCAACAGGUGAAAUCAAUCCUAAAAAUUAAUCAAAUAGUAAUUAAUCAGAGAUCUCCAAUGACCUAAUGUAUGGAUUUGUUACUAAGACAAUUGCGGUAACAAAAUUUGGGUACAAGGUUGGUUGUAACAGCUUGGAAACAGUCCCGCAUUGAUCAAAAAGAACAAAUUGUUUUUUUUAUGGAAGGGCCCUUACGACCAAUUUCAUUGAUCAAAAGCCAAAAUGGCGCGGAUACAUGCUUUCCCUUGCCAAACGUUUGGGAAAGUUAAUGACUUGACAUGGCAUGCUAGUACCAUUCAUUACAAAUUCCACUCACUUAAUUCGAUACAGAAAAGAAAAAAGUGAACCUAAUUAGACCAUGAAACAAAUCACAACAAUUAGGCACACACACAAAAUGCUUAGACUCCUAAAAAAGGAAUUAUUGUAAAUAGACAAGCUACAUACUUAGAAAAUGAGCUAAGGCAUGAACCCUAGCCCAAAUCUAGGCCCAAGCAACUCCAAAAUGGCCCAACCCAAAGCUCGAACAAGGGAGACCCAUGCCUGCAUCCACCACACCCUUUGCCGUCACUACUUCCCAAAGCAUCUUUGAAUCCUUCGUCCACGCCAUCGCCAUCCGAAACGAGUCAGAUCCACCAUGACCCUUACCACACAUGACAACAGCCAUGAUACCAUCAAUUUGCACCGAUCCAACAAGCUUCGCUGUCGACAAUAGAUAGCAAAAAAAUUCUGACGAAAACACGCCGUCGCAAUGCUCAGAUGAAAACAUGCCGCCGCAGGACUCAAAGCCAACAAGCCCCGAUCCCUUCGCUCAAAACUUCAAGCCAAAAAAACCAUGAAGAAACUACUUGGCAACUUGUAGAUCCCGUCCGACGGUCUCUACUCGGAGUCAUCAAAGCCCAAAGGCCAGCCUCUAACCGAGUUCGGCCACCGGAUGAGAUGGAGAUUUGGGUGUGGGAGUCGAGUGUCUUUCGGUUAUGUGUCUUGACCUAAUCGUUUCUUUAUUAUAAUAGAUUACAACAAAAUAACAAAAUGACAUGACAUGGACAAAGAAAAACGUGGUGUUAUAAGAAGUACAACACGAACAAUCAUAGAAAGUGCCAUAUAAGUUGAAGAAGCGGAGACACCAAUGCAAAGAGGAGUUAGCUACACUUCACUAGACUACAGAUUACAGAAUAAAUACAUAGAGCGAGGGAGUGUGUGAGGAAGAAAAGGGAUCAUGUUCCAUUGCCAGCCAAUCGUUCAUAAAUAUACGUCCCCCAUCUUUGUAAUUACCCAAAAAGCCCACUUCAAAGCUGGCACACCCAAACCUCAAAAACUUAAAUAAAAAAUAAUAAUAAUAAAAAGAAAAUAGAAACGGGAUGUUGUGGACUGUAGGAGCACUCUGCACUCCUAUUGAAGAAGCACCGCCCAAUUACUAAACUAGCAGCAUUUUUUCAGUCUUAGACCUAUUUUUGAAAGAUAAUAGUAAUUAAAAAUAAAUAGAAUAAUAGUUUUGGGAUUUGAGUAGUGCCCCCAGAUUAUGUAUUACAGAAAACAACCAAAUGGAGUGGCGCCCAUGUUCUAGUCAAUAUCAAAAUUCCCCACUUGGUCAAUCACCAAACCCCCGCUCUCUCUCCACUGCCCUACUCCCCUCGUCCCCUCACUAUCUUUAAGAUCAUAGCAAUCCCACAUCACAUAUCAACAUGCUUAACUGAUUUCUGAAAUUCUAGGGUUAUAAAAAAGUAACCCAACAUUUUUCUAUUUAACCCUUUCCCAAAAAAAUCAACUCUAAACUUUGAUUGAUCGUAACUUUAUCGUACGACAUCCGUUUUACGCGUGCCACAUGUCUACGAACUCGUAUCGCCGUGCUCUACAAAUUCCGUGAAAGAAGUUUCUUGAGAAACCCAAUGAAUAAAAAGUCAACUAAAAAGUCAACCAAAUAAAAUAAAUAAAUAAUAAUAGAAACUAGUAUCUAAAUUCCGGGGUAUUACAUGUACUCUUGGUUUACCUUAUGUGAUGUUGGGUUGAGUCCGUUAAUGUAGAUUUACUCAUACGACCUGUUAAAGCUUACCGGGUUUGUUGUUUAUAACCCGGUGCACUAAUUCAUGAUGUAGGGGUUAUACCUGCAAGUGAUGAUCAGCAGGGUUGAGGCGGAGGCAUAGUAGCUGGGUUCUAGAGGCUGUACAUUUUAUUUUUAAUAUUAUGGCUGUUUGUUUUUACGCUCUUGCAAGCGACUGUAUUUUACUAGACUUUUUGAAGUUGAUGUAAUUAAGGAGAGAUAAUGUUUAACUCAGUUAAUGAGUUUUGUUGACAUUUACAUUUCUAGCAUUUGAUUUUAGUUGGAAGUUGUUAAGCAGGUUUUGGAAUAUUAAGAUUUUGAGUUAUAUCAUGCCCAAAUUUUUGAAAAUUAUCCUUAAAAAAAUUGGGGUGUGACAAAUGACAUCCAUUACGAGAGCAUAUCUCAUCCCAGUGCGUGUUAGUGAGAGACCUAGCGCUAUAAGGUGAGUAUAAGCUUUUGUUCUUACUACGCUAUCUAACAAACACUACAAGAAUUCGGGGCAUUUACCGAGCAAAAUUUAUGGUGUGCACCAAUGCACACCGUAUUAUGUGCUCUUUUAUGGCGUGCUUUUAAUGCGUGUCGUAAAAAACCUCUGACAUGUAUUCUUUUACUGCGUGCUUUUAAUGCAUGCCAUAAAUGACCAAUCACAUUAAGUCUUUCGUUGCACGCAUGUAUAACGUGCCGUAAUCGUGAUAUGUUUUUACUGCACACAUAUCAAAUGUUUUCCUCUUCUAAGAAGUCCCGCACCUUUGCAAAGCCUCAAACGUCAACCCCCAAACCUCAAUAAUCUCGAUAGAGUUAGAAAGAAGCUCUAAUCCUCCAUCGAAUUCUACAAUGAGUUGCAAACCGGAAAGCCUGCAAAUCGGUUUCUAGGGAUUUCUGGCUGUGGUGGUGCAAGGUAGGUUUGUUUCUUCUUCUUCUUCUCUCUUAUCUUAAUCGAUUUUUGUAUUCUACUUUCUCUUUGAAGCGAUUAGAAUCGCUGAAACCCUUAAUCCUUUUAUUUCUCCGGUUAUGAAUGUCGUUGUUUCAACCCCAGCCGUCAGCCUUCCUCAUCAAUCGCAGCCCCAAACUAUCGUCGGCCACAAACUCUUGGGCUAUCAGACUUCGUGACAUUCGUUGUUGUGUACGGCUGAGAUUGUGAUUCUUAAUCAUAAAAUUCAGGUAUGGCUAAUAGUAAUCCCUAUUAUAGUGUGGGAUUGUAAAUUUCACAGUAAUGUCAAAAGUAAUUUUCUUUUAUAACCUAAGUAAGCUGUGAGUAGGUUGUUAAGUGUUUCAUUGUUAUGUCGAUUGCAAUAUGCUUAUAUGCAGAAGUGUAAAUGUAUUUUUUUGCUAGUAUCAAUUUUGGGAGUGUAAUGAUCUCAAUUUUAUUUAGGUUUAUUUAUCGAAUUGCUUUUGUGUGUUUUUUUUUUCUCUGACUAGGAUUUUGAUUUUGAUUAUAUUUUGGACUACCAAUUAUAUUUCCAAAUUAGAUUUUCUUUUCUACGUGUAUAGUUGUUCUUUAUUUAAUUUUGGGUGAAAAUAUUUAUUUGGGUCUAGAACUAUCCAGUCAUCAUCAGAAGCAGAACACGUUGCCCAUUCUUUUUCGUUCACGUGUCCCUAACUGAUUUCUCCAGAAUUUACUCGUCAGUCUCUCUUCCUCUUCUCCCUUCUCUUCUUGUUCUUCUUCCCCUUUUCUCUACUCUUCACUUCUGUCUCUACUCUGAUCAUCACUCUCUUCUCUAAAUCAACAACACCGAUUUCACUAGCUCACAAGGAAGAGGGGAGGAAUCGCCAUGAAAUUCGUUGCCAAAGAAUCUGAAAUUCUUUGUCUAUUCGCAGCUAACUCCUAUAAGUUUCAAUCUCUUGUAAGUUUCAGUCUUCUCUCUCUCAAACUAGUUAUCCAAUCUCAGUUGUUUCUGUCAAGACCCACCCUGAAUUUCACACUGAAACAUGAAGUAAAUUCUACGGGGACCACCUCUAAGGAAAGUUUACCGAAAAUUCGGCAUAACCUCUCUUGAAAAUGAACAACCCUUCCUAAUAAAACCUGCAUACACUUAUGAUAAACCAAAUCCAACCUUAAACUCCUGGAGCCUUCAUGCUCCCCCAAAUCACAACAUCUCCCAAUUAUUUACUAACUUUAAUAAGAAUAAUCCCACAACCAACAAUCACAGUUUAGAGCAAUUCUAAUUGAGAGGAAAUGAACUAGAAAUUUAGAAAUGAGCGGAAGCUAUACUAUUAACUAUGCCUCUUCUCCAUGUACGCCCGACCUCAACUAUGCUAACCUGCAAACUGGGCAUUUUUAAAACGAAGAGCCCAGGGGAAAACAUUUGAAACCGUUAAAGUGAGUGGACAAAGAUAAAUUAAUAAAUAAAAUAUUUAUGUUUCCCCAAAUCAAUUUCCAAGGAAAAAUCAAAUGUAUGCUGCAAGCGAUAAAACUUUAAUCUCGUAAAAUAUCGAGCCUCUCAGGCUCUAAAAUAUAUGUAUGUAUUUACACACGUCCAUACUCCCUAUAUAAAUUCAUGGGUCUAUAUAGGGCUACUACGCUCGCGUCCAAUGCUCACGUGACGUCUUAAUGCGGUGCUACACUACGCCAUUAAGGUGGACAGACGGGUGUAUAAAUAUGUGUCCAUACCCCCUAUAUGAAUUAAACACUCAUAUAGGGCUACUACGCUCACGUCCAACGCUCACGUCACACCAUAAUGCGGCUAUAUGCUACGCCAUUACGGUGGACAGACACAUAUGGCUAGCUAGCAUUUAUAUACAUACUCUCCUCAAUAUACAUAUUUAUACUCAACGAAAAAUCUCAUUUUUCGGUAACUCUCCAAAAGAAAUAAAAACGUCAAAAAUUAAAUGACGUCAAAACUCCAACAAUUUAAAUGUUCAACCAUGACCAUAGCAUGCAUAUUAUUUAAAACAAAAGUCCCCCCACAACUUUAGGCCUAAGUCUGACGUCGAUCCGAGGUCUCUUCUGCUUGAGCCUCCUCACGUCCUGUUUCCAAAUGUAAAAAUAAUUUCGCAACUAAAAAUCCAAAUAUUUAUACAAAAUAGGCAAAAUAAACAUGAGCUACUAUAUGAACUCCCUAUAUGAAAGCCUAAAUAAACCAAAUAAGAAAAUAGUUUUCAUAUAGGGCUACUACGCUUGUGUCUAACACUCACGUCACACCAUAAUGGUAUUUUACCUCAUUAUGGCGGAUCAAACACGUAUGGCUAGCUACCAUUUACAUAUACAUACUAUCAUCAUAAACAUCCAAUAAACAUAUCCACCGAAAAUCUCAUUUUCGGGAUCUCUCCAAAGGAGGAAAAUUGCCAAAUAUCCGAGAAAUAAAUAAAUUUCAGGAAAAGAAAUAAAUAAUCAACAGAUAAUUCAUCGCAUGCUUUUCAAUUAAAAUAAAGGUCCACUCACAAAUUAGGCCUAAGCCUGAUGACGCUCCGAGGUUUCCUCUGCUCGGGCCUCCUCUCGUCCUGUUCCAAAUAUAUAAUUAAUUUCCCACCAAAAAUCCAAUAAUUAAACAAAAUGGGCAAAAUUAAACGUGAGGCUCCUACACACUCAUCAUUGCCCAAAUUCGCCAUUCUUAACUCAAUACCGCUCAAACUUCGCAGAACAUACCGGCAGCCGUAAAAACAACUUCCCACAGAAUACGACUUAAAUCCUACGGCCGGAUUCUACAUUAAUUAACCGCCAAAAAUACCAAACUUCGGAAAUUCACAAACCUAUCCAAAACUCAUCCAAAAAUACCAUAACUCACUUCAAUAAACUCCCCUUAAUAUUCCAAAUCUAAAAAAACAUUAAAAUCUCCCAAACAACUCCGGUAGCGGCGGCCGGAGGCCGAUUCCGGCGACCUCCAAUUCUUAUGAAAUUUUAACAGCAUCUUCCUCUCAUCAUGCUCUACAACUUUCCUAACUAGCACAAACCCAAAAUCCAAGCCUAGCUAUGCCAAUCGAACAAAAACAUCAAAAACGCCCUAGAGCUUCCACCUCAAAUUUCUCCUUACCUGAAGCAAACCGGGGUGACUCCAUUUAGGGCAAGGCAGCUGGGUUAGAGACCUACAAAACCGUACCAAGCUUGCCCGGAUUGGUGGUCGGAGGAGGGAGAGGAGGUGAUGGGGGUCCGAACUGGGGUGGAGUGGUGGCUGGUGGCUAGUCGGACGGCGGCAGCUGGCAGCUGGAAAUUUCCGGCGAAGGGAGAGAGAGCACGGGAGGGAGAAGGAAGAGAAAAGAGAGAAGAAGAGAAAGAGAGGAAAUGGGUUGGGCCUCUCCAACCGGUCCAACUCCACUAAUAUACCUAACUCCCACAAAUAAAACACCCCGAAAAAUAAUACCCGAAAAAAAUUACCUUUUACUAGCUAAAAUUUACCCCUUUUACCGUCGCCAUAUUUUCGUCCUACGAGUAAUCCUCCGCACAUAAUCGUCCCCGUAACCCCUCUAGGGACCAAUUAAACUAUUAACUCAGUGACGGAGACGGUAAAAUUCUUAUUAAAAACAAGGUAGUAAAUAAGGUAAAAAUAUAAGAGUCGGGAUAUGAUAAUUCUCCCCUCCUUAUAAAAAUUUCGUCCUCGAAAUUUGCAUACCUGUCAUCCGAAGAGAUAGGGAUACUGCUGCAUCAUUUGCUGCUCUGAUUCCCAAGUAGCUUCUUCUACUUGAUGACUUCUCCAAAGCACCUUGACAAGUGAGAUUGUCUUAUUCCUAAGCACUUGCUCCUUUCGGUCGAGAAUCUGAACCGGUUCCUCUUCAUAUGUCAAAUCUCUCGUCAAACUGAUCGGCUGCUCUUGCAGCACAUGAGAAGGAUCGGCAAUAUACUUGCAAAGCAUGGAUACAUGAAACACAUUAUGUAUCCUAGCUAACUCUGGAGGCAAAAGUAGCCGAUAAGCAAGUGAGCCAACUCGCUCUAUGAUCACAUAAGGGCCAAUAUACCUCAGACUAAGCUUCCCACGCUUACCGAAACGCACAACCCCUUUCCAAGGAGAUAAUUUCAGGAACACCCAAUCACCCACUUGAAAUUCAAGAUCUCUCCUACGGACAUCUGCAUAACUCUUCUGCCUACUUUGAGCGGUCUUGAGUCUAUCUCUAACCACUUUAAUCUUCUCAUUCGUAACAUGGAUUAAUUCUGGGCCACAGAGCUCUUUUUCCCCCACUUCAUUUCAACACAAAGGCGUGCGACACAGCCUCCCAUAAAGACCCUCAAAGGGAGCCAUACCAAUGCUAGAAUGAAAGAUAUUAUUAUAGGCAAAUUCCAUCAAAGAUAGGUUUUUAUCCCAACUUCCUCUGAACUGCAAGACACAAGCCCUCAACAUAUCCUCCAACGUCAGAAUUGUCCUCUCGGACUGCCCAUCAGUCUGAGGAUGAAAAGCAGUGCUGAAGAGUAAUUGGGUACCUAAAGCUGCCUGAAGAGCUCCCCAGAAUUUAGAAGCAAAUCGAGGAUCCCGAUCUGACACUAUUGAUUCAGGAACACCAUGAAGCCUCACAAUUUCAUUCACAUAAAGCUCCGCCAAUUUAUCCAAUUUAUACUUCUUUCCCACUGGCAAGAAAUGUGCAGACUUGGUGAGUCGAUCCACAAUCACCCAAAUACCGUCAUGCCCUUUACGGGUACGAGGUAAACUGAAAACGAAAUCCAUGGUGAUGUGGUCCCACUUCCACACUGGAAUAGGCAACGGCUCAAGCAAUCCAGAAGGCUUCUGCCUUUCAGCUUUUACUUGCUGACAAACCAGACAUCUACUCACAUAAGCUGCAAUUUCCCUCUUCAUGUUUGGCCACCAAUAAUAAUUCUUCAAAAUCCGAUACAUUUUUGUGCUACCCGGAUGAGCAGCAUAUGCAGAGCUAUGAGCUUCCUCCAUAAUCUCAUUCUUCAACUCUUCAUUUCUUUUUGGAACUACAUUAGCCGAUUCUUAAACAUAGAGUCCCAUCUCUUCUAACUGAAAAAUGAUCGGCAGCGGCUCCAUUCGAAGCUCUUUCCAUUCAAUCAAACUAUGGAAGGAUCAUUAUACUGUGCUUCCCGCACUCUAUCAACCAAAACUGGCCUCACAUGAAAACUGGCUAUCAAAGCACCAACCUCAUCUACUGAUAAAUCCACUCCUGUAGCUUGCAACUCACAAAGAAGCGGAACACGAACCAUCUUUAUAUGAGAUAAAGAUAUAGAGGGAUUUCGACUAAGAGCAUCCGCUACCACAUUAGCUUUUCCAGGGUGAUACUCAAUAGUGCAAUCAUAAUCAUUGAUUAACUCCAUCCACCUUCUCUGUCCCAUAUUUAGCUCUCUUUGAGUGAAUACAUACCGAAGACUCUUGUGAUCGGUAAAUAUCUGACACUUGCCUCCAUAAAGAUAGUGUUUCCACAACUUGAGAGCAAAAACUACCGCUGCAAGCUCCAGAUCAUGAGUAGGAUAAUUCCCCUCAUGCGGCUUUAAUUGCCUAGAAGCGUAGGCAAUAACUCGUCCAUGCUGCAUCAAUACUCCACCUAGACCAUGUCUAGAAGCAUCACAAUAGAUCACAUACUCUCCACUAUCAUCCGGAAGUGCCAAAACAGGAGCACUUGUUAAGCAAUUCUUCAAUUCUUGGAAACUUUGCUCACAUUGAUCUGACCAUUCAAACUUAACCCUCUUCCUGGUCAAUCUUGUGAGAGGAGCAACAAUCUUUGAAAAAUCUUUCACAAAGCGCCGAUAAUAACCUACUAAUCCCAAGAAACUACGAAUCUCCAUCACAGUGGUGGGUCUUCUCCAAUUCGACACUGCUUUCACCUUUUGGGGAUCCCCACUAACUCCUUCUACCGAAAUCACAUGACCCAAAAACCCCUCUUUAUCUAGCCAAAACUCACACUUGCUAAACUUAGCAAAUAACUGCGACUUUUCCAAAGUCCGUAAUAUUAUUCUUAGAUGCUUGGCAUGCUCCUUCUCACUUCUUGAGUAAACCAAUAUGUCAUCUAUGAAUACGAUCACGAAACGAUCAAGAUAUGGACUAAACACCCUAUUCAUGAGAUCCAUGAACGCCACGGGUGCAUUAGUAAGUCCAAAUAGCAUCACCAUAAACUCAUAAUGACCAUAUCGUGACCGAAAAGCAGUCUUGGCUAUGUCCCCCUCUCGGAUCCGCAACUGAUGAUAACCCGAUCUCAAAUCAAUNNNNNNNNNNNNNNNNNNNNUUAGAGAAAACAGAGGCACCCGUCAACUGAUCAAAUAAAUCAUCGAUCCGAGGCAACGGAUAUUUAUUCUUCACUGUGACCUGAUUCAACUUCCUAUAAUCAAUGCAUAGUCUCAUGGUGCCGUCUUUCUUCUUAACAAACAACACCGGAGCACCCCAUGGAGACAUGCUAGGCCGAAUAAAACCCUUAUGUACCAACUUCUGCAAUUGAGUCUUCAACUCUUUCAAUUCCGCUGGAGCCAUUUUGUAAGGUGCCUGAGAGAUAGAUAUAGUUCCAGGAAGUAAUUCUAUAGAGAAGUCUAUCUCCCUUGCAGGAGGCAAACCAGGCAACUCCUCAGGAAAAACAUCCGGAAACUCCCUUACUACCGGAAUAUCUUCUAAUCCCACAACUCCCAUAAUUGUAUCCACGACAUGAGCUAAAUAUGCCUGACAGCCUUUACUCAACAAUUUCCUUGUAGCAACAGCGGAAAUUAUGCAACUAGAAAUAACAUCUCUUUCCCCUUGGAAAGCAACCUCAAAACCAUCUGGACUUCGAAGCACCACUACUUUUUGAAAACAAUCUACCAUAGCUCUAUAUGCUUCCAAAAAGUCCAUUCCCAAGAUCACAUCAAACUCCACUAUAUCUAAAGGAAUUAAAUCAGCCUCAAAAUUAACUCCUUCCACUAAAACUUCACAACCACUAAAUACCCAAUUUAUUCUCAUCACCUCACCGGAGGGUAGAGACACAUGCCACUCGCCUGGAAGAGACGAUGAUAGCACAUUGGCAUGGAGAGCGAAUCUACUAGACAUGAAUGAAUGCGUGGCUCCUGGAUCAAUUAAAGUAAAAGCAGGCUGACCGAAAAUUAAUAACGUACCAAUGAUGACAUCUGGAGAAGUACGACCCUCCUGCUGGGUCAUAGUAUGUAGUCUAGCGCGAGUCAUGGGACGUCUAUGCUGACCACCACCCCGCUGAGAGCCACCUCUGACCGAUGCACUGCCCUGGGCACCACUACUGGAGCCUCCAGCUGAAGACUGACCAACUGGCUGAGUAGGGGUGGGGGUGGUCCUCUGAGCCAACAAUGGGCAAUCUCUCCUGAAGUUGUCUUGACCACCACACUCAAAGCACCCAGAAAACUGCUGCUACCCAUAAGAAAAAGUCUAGCUACCGGAUGACCCACCAUGGAAAUUACCACCAGAACCAUACUGCCCAGACUGCUGCCUACCCAAAUGACUCCGAGAAGGUCUCCUGAAACAUCCUCUAGUCCUGUUUCGAGCACCAGAGCUCGAUCCCCCACUACUGCCACUACCAGCAGAAGACCCAGAAGCGGAUGAUGUAGCAGCCUUCUUAGAUGGACCUUGACUAGGGCCACCGUAAUCACGAGGCCGAACACCAUAUGUCCCCCUAAACUCAAUGGCCAUGGCUGCACCAACUGCAUCCUCAAAAGUCGGGUAAAUUACCCAUGUCAUCUUGUCCGCAUACACUCCACCAAGUACCCCAAUGAACAUCUCAAUCCUGGUCCUCUCAUCAGAAACCAGAUAUGACACAUGGUAGCUCAGGGAAGUGAAUCUUUCCUGAAACUCUAAGAUACCCUCAUCGUCCCUCUUUGACAUAUGCAGGAAAUCCGACUGAAUUCUGCUGCGGUGGGCAUGAUUGAAAUACUGCCCCAAGAAGAGAGUCUUAAACUACUCCCACGACAUAUUCAGCGCAUCCUCAACAUUCCUGUUGGCAAGUGACCACCAGUGAUGUGCUGAAUCAUCCAGAAAAGUCACUGCUAUCUUCACCUUUCUUUCUUCUGGCAGCUCAGUGCUCGCAAAAGCCUUUUCCAUCUUAUCCACCUAAUUGUGAGCAUCAAGAGGUCCCUUGGCACCCUUGAACUCUCUGGCUCCAGCAUAAAAAACUUCUCUCCUUUUCACAGUAGGAGGGCGUGGAGCUCGAUCCAUGACAUCCCUUAGCAUAUUUCCAAUAUCAUCAACCAGUCCCCUGACCUCAUUGCCCUCAUCGGCAUUGGUUGAAGUGGCCACACGGGGUUGCCGUGGGCGCCUAGGAGGCAUAGUACCUGAGAAAGAAGAAAUUUAGUAGUCCAUAAACAAGACUAACACAACAAUCACACAUACCCAAUAACACAUAGCAUCAAAAGCAUAAAAUGCCAAUGAAUCCGCCGCGGUCUGAUCAUCACUCUAUAGACACUACGUGCUACUUAGGCAAAUAUGAUAGUGACAAGGAAGCAGGAAAAGGAAACCUAAAGCUCUGAUACCAACUGACACGACCCACCCCAAAUUUCACCCUGAAACCCGAAGUCGUGCGGGGACCACCUCCAAGAAAAAUUUACUGAAAAGAUUGAUAAAAUCUCCCUUGAAAAUGGACAACCCUAACUCGAAAAUUCCAAAUUACACUCUUAAUACAACACGUCCAAACAUCACAUAAUUAACCUUCAGAAAUUCUAAACAUAAUAUACAAUAAUCUCAAAGUAUUCAGAGCUACUAGACACUAGCGGAAGCAAGAAAACACGAGUAGGUUAAACAUGUAAUCUACUGAUGAAAACUGGCGGAAAUCCGGGUGACUAUGCCUCGCCUCCUACUAGAUCCAACUCGAACUCUGCAGACUGGGCAAUUUAAAACGAAGAGCCCAAGGGAAAACAUGUGGAACAGUUAGAGUGAGUGGACAAAAACUAAAUUAAAUAAAAAUAUUUCUUUAUGCUUUCCCAAUUUAAUUUCCAAAUAAAAUAAUACUGCAUGCAAUCGCUCAAAAGCGCUCAACUCAAAAACUGACAACUUCACGACUAGCACCGGCUAGUCUCCAAAACUUAAUAAAAUACAGCCUCUCAGGCUAAAUUAUAUAUAAACAUAUAUAAGUGUAUGUAUUUACACUCGUCAGACUCCUUGUAUGAAUUCUAAGAACAAAUUAGAAAAAUAGAAAUUCAUACAAGGCUACUACGCUUGCGUCUAACGCUCACGUCACACCAUAAUGGAAUUGUACCUCAGUAUGGCGGAAAAAGCACGAGUGUAUAUACGUGUGGACUCCCUAUAUGAAAACCUAAAUAAACCAAAUAAGAAAAUAGUUUUCAUAUAGGGCUACUACGCUUGUGUCUAACACUCACGUCACACCAUAAUGGUAUUUUACCUCAUUAUGGCAGAUCAAACACGUAUGGCUAGCUAGCAUUUACAUAUACAUACUAUCAUCAUAAACAUCCAAUAAACAUAUCCACCGAAAAUCUCAUUUUCGGGAUCUUUCCAAAGGAGGAAAAUUGCCAAAUAUCCGAGAAAUAAAUAAAUCUCAUGAAAAGAAAUAAAUAAUCAACAUAUAAUUCAUCGCAUGCUUUUCAAUUAAAAUAGAGGUCCACUCACAAAUUAGGCCUAAGCCUGAUGACGCUCCGACGCUUCCUCUGCUCGGGCCUCCUCUCGUCCUGUUCCAAAUAUAUAAUUAAUUUCCCACCAAAAAUCCAAUAAUUAAACAAAAUGGGCAAAAUUAAACGUGAGCCUCCAACACACUCAUCAUUGCCCAAACCAAAUUCGUCAUUCUUAACUCAAUACAGCUCAAACUUCGGCGAACAUACCGGCAGCUGUAAAAACAACUUCCCACAGAAUACGACUUAAAUCCUACGGCCGGAUUCUACAUUAAUUAACCGCCAAAAAUACCAAACUUCGAAAAUUCAUAAACCUAUCCAAAACUCAUCCAAAAAUUCCAUAACUCACUUCAAUAAACUCCCCUUAAUAUUCCUAAUCUAAAAACAUUAAAAUCUCCCAAACAGCUCCGGUAGCGGCGGCCGGAGGCCGAUUCCGGCGACCUCCAAUUCCUAUGAAAUUUUAACAGCAUCUUCCUCUCAUCAUGCUCUACAACUUUCCUAACUAGCACAAACCCAAAAUCCAAGCCUAGCUAUGUCAAUCGAACAAAAACAUCAAAAACGCCCUAGAGCUUCCACCUCAAAUUGCUCCUUACCUGAAGCAAACCGGAGUGAGUCCUUUUAGGGCAAGGCAGCUGGGUUAGAGACCUACAAAACCGUACCAAGCUUGCCCGGAUUGGUGGCCGGAGGAGGGAUUUCCGACGAAAAGCUUCCCGGCGUUUCCGGUGCGUUUUCUCUUCUUCCGGCGGGCUAACGGCUCGGGGGCUAGGCCGGGGAGGGAGAGGAGGUGAUGGGGGUCCGAACUGGGGUGGAGUGGUGGCUGGUGGCUGGCCGAACGGCGGCAGCUGGCAGCUGGAAGUUUCCGGCGAAGGGAGAGAGAGCACGGGAGGGAGAAGGAAGAGAAAAGAGAGAAGAAGAGAAAGAGAGGAAAUGGGUUGGGCCUCUCCAACCGGUCCAACUCCACUAAUAUACCUAACUCCCACAAAUAAAACACCCCGAAAAAAAAUUACCUUUUACUAACUAAAAUUUACCAUUUUUACCGUCGCCAUAUUUUCCUCCUACGAAUAAUCCUCCGCCCAUAAUCGUCCCCGAAACCCCUCUAAGGACCAAUUAAACUAUUAACUCAAUGACGGAGAUGGUAAAAUUCUUAUUAUAAACAAGCUAGUAAAUAAGGUAAAAAUAUAAGAGUCGGGAUGUGACAGGAGCAGUCGGCGUUUCCGGUGGUUUUCUUCUCUCCGGCGGCGCUACCAGCUCGGACACUAGGCCGGGAAGAGAGAAGAGGUGGCAGGGCUCCAAACUGGGCUGGAGCGGCGGCCGGUUGCUGGCCGGAUGGCGGCAGGCGAUGGUCGGAAGUCGGACGGAGAGAUAAGCUCUGGGGGAGAGGGAGAGAGAAGAGAAAGAGGAGGAAAAAGAAGGAAGAAAAAAAAUGGGCCACUCCUCUAACCCAGUCCAACACCUUAAACAAAACCCCAACUCCCAAAAAUUAACACCUCAGAAUAAUACCCAAAUAAAAAUUACCUUUUACCAGCUAAAAUUUACUAUUUUUACCGUCGUCAAAUUUUUCUCUUACGAAUAGUUCCUCCGAAAUAAUCGUCCAUCAAAACCCCUCUAGGGACUAUUUAAACUAUAAACUCAUUGACAAAGACGGUAAAACUCUUAUUAUUACCAAGCUAGUAAAUAAGUUAAGAAUUUAAGGGUCGGGAUGUGACAGUUUUCCUAAUAAAAUUGGACUCUGAAUUGUAUCAUGAAUCUCAAAUUAGGGAACUUGAAUUGCUUGGGUGCAAGCUGGGACUUUGCUUUCGGAAUCAAACUGCUAUUGUUUGAUUUGGGUGCUUAUGUGUUUGGAGUUGCUUGCUUAUGCCGGUUGCUAUGACAUGAGGUAGGGAAAACAAACUUUUCUUUAUAGCUUUGAUUCUAGUUUCAUGUGUAUUUGGUGUGAUUGUGUUGGAAUGUCUUCUCUGCUAUUUUUCCUUGAUUGAAACUGUCAAGCAUACAUAGCUUGUCGAAUAGAAAUCUUGUUGAGUGUCAUUGUUACUCUGAUUCAAGGUAAUAUGUACCCUUGUCUUAUAUUUAAUAUUGAAAUGAUAGCCUUGAGUAUUUUGGCUGGUAUUCUUUGAAGAAGUUCACAUUGGACAAGGUCCUUCUCGUUCCCAACUCUCUUCUUAUUAUGUUAGUUGCAGCCGUGGCUUGUAUCUUGUUAUACCAUCUAAAGUGGUUUUAUCUGUGUCUACUUUGUCUUAUGUUACUGCUUUCUUGGCUUCUCCUUUGAGUCUAUUACUUAGUUUAGUCCUGCUCUCUGUUAAUGCUCAUGAACUCACUGUACAAAGCUGCUCAAGUUAGUGUCUUUACCCAUUGAUAUUUAUAUUCUUGAGGCCGAUACAAAUCUGAUUCUUGCCCUGUUCUUUAUAAUUUAAAAGGAAGUUUUUAUACAUGGUUUUACUUGAACCAAAAAUUC
rnacentral:lncRNA from 1 species